rnacentral:lncRNA from 1 species
UGGAUUUAUCUUAGAUGUUUGGUUGGAUGUUGGCUUAGUCCUCUGUUUUGUGCUCAGAGGAUGAGUAUAGUUAUGUAUAAGGGUUGGAUCACCCCUAAAGUGGUUCCUAUUUAUUGAAUCUUUAUUGUUGAUAAAAAGAAUGUUGUCUCUGUCUUUGCUUUGCAUGUGACUCUUUUAGCUUCAAGGUGAAUCUCUAUUAGUUCGGGGUCCUAGUGAUAUAGUUAAAUUUUUUAUUAGGACUCUAUGGUGCAAUUUAAUUACCUUUAAGCUUUUGGUAGAUUUCGAGCUCUUAGUGAGCAUCUGCUCAAGUUCAGGUAAGAGAAGCUAGCCUUAAUUUCCAAUAGAACACUAGGCUAGAAGAUCUGGAUGUGAGGGUGACGUGGUCACCAGUCUCAAACUUUCUUGUAGGAUUGUUUGUUUUAAGUAUAUUAGAAGUUGAUUGAGAUUUGAAUGUGAAAUUUUAUAUAUGGUAGAUGUUAUAAAAUUAUAUUUUUUUUUAUUUGAAUAAGUAAAUGAAUGUAUUUAAGUAGUUUGAUGAAUCACUUAAAGGAUAAUGUUGUUAAGUAUUGAUUGUUUGGUUUUGAUUUAGAGUAAUUGUUCAACUUUAACCAGGACUUUGUACUUUGGUUUAGUAUAUUUGAUAAAAUAAAAAUUUGAAUGAAAAUAUUAGGUACUCUCGGGUCUAUUUUCGCUAAAAUAAGAUGGGAUCUUGUUCAAAGCAAAAAUGGGAUAAUUUCUGAAGUACUUUCUGGUCCAUUUUCGCUAAAACUACAUGGAAUUUUGUUCAACUGAAAAUGGGGAAAGUCUAGAGUGUCGCUAGUCCAUUUUAGUUCAAACCAAUUUUUUUCGCUCAAGCCAAAAAAUUCUUGAUGCACGCGGGUAUAUUUUCGCUCGCACUAAAAUUUUUCGUUCAAACCAAAAAAAUCCUAGGUGUAGGUCUAUUUUUGCUCACACUAAAAAAUUUUCGCUCAAGCCAAAAAAAAUUGUAAAAAAAGAACUGAAUAUUUAAUAUUUGCUUUUAAAAGUUGGUUUAUUUCUUUCUGUAAUUUUUACUUAUACAUUAUGUAAACUUUUAUUUUAUGUAUAUUAAAUUGAAAAUUUAUUUAAUUAGAUAUUAUAUGAUUAUUGAAUGAUGUGUUUUGGAAAUUCUAAACUUUUGUAUGAUUUGAUUGUGUGAUUUUGGAUAUUGCGAGAUUCAGAAUAUGAAUUUUAAUCAAGACAUAGUAUUUUCAAGAAAAAAAUAGCGUGUAAAGAUUGUUUAGGAUGUGCAUUGACUAGAGAUUCUCUCUGAGUCUAAGUCAACGCACGAGUCUUUCGAAAGUAGAGUCAAGUGUGUAUGUGUUGUGAGUCCGUAAAAGUCUGACUUGUGAAAUAUUGUUACGAAGUGGACUUUAAGUCUAACUCAACCCCAUAAAACCGGCUCAUAGGAUUGAGGUUUGCACCCACUUAUAUACGAUGAAAGGCUCUAAUCUCUAGUCGAUGUGGAAUCUCCAAAAUAUAUAUAUAUAUAUAUAUAUAUUUAAUGUAAUAAUUAAAUUAUGUCCUUCUUAAUAAACGAAUUAGACCAGAGCUUUAGGUAUUGAAGCCAUAGGUCCUUAAACUUGGCCGUUGGCCUGAUCUAUUUCCAUUCCUAAAUGUCAAUGCUGGUUUAAGUUCAAAUAUGGUUGGUUUGGUUCAACCCAAAUCUUGAAUCUUGAUGAAGACUAAGGUUUUGAAGGGUUGUUUUGUUGUUAACAGCUGCUUAUGCUGAAUACUGUGCUCAAAUUCUCUAAUUCUCUGUGUCUGCAUCAAUUUUCUAAAAUGAAAAUAUAUAUCAUACAAAAUACUGAAACUUCAAUGUCAUCAACCUUGCCUGACCAAACUAACCACACCAAUGAAUAAGAAACUAUCUCCUUAAACACUUUACAUUAACAACAUAUGUGUAUGUUUUCAAACUCAUCUUAAGAUCGAAUUUUAAAAGGUUUGAUGAUGGAUCCCUCUUAUAGAAAGUAUAAUAAUGAUGAUGGAAAGAGAAAACAAUGAAUAAGUUUUUAAUUUUAGUGAGUUGUUGUUAUUGCUUAUCCCACAAUCUAAGUCCCCUUAUUUGGUUUAUUUGGAUAAGAUGGGACCAAGUGAUUAGGACUUUAUAUUAUUAAAAGUAAAGCUAGUGGGUAUUACUCUUUGGAGUCAUUCUUCAAUUUCAACUACAUAAUCAUUCUCAGUUAAUUAUUAUUAACUUCUCUUUGAUUCGUUUCAUACAACAAAACUACUACAUUAACUUUCAUCCUUAAUUAGACAAGAUGGACCCAUUUUUUUUAAAAAUAUUAAAAUAUACGUUUAACAGUUUAGCAUAAAUAAGAAAUAUUUCAAAAGAUAAACUUGUAUUCUAAGUAUUUUAUUUAGUUAUAUACUUAAAAUUUGAAUUAAAAGUUAAACUAAAACCAUUUUUAAUAAUAUACAUACUUAAAACUCAAUUUACAUCCACUUAUAUAUGUUAAGAUAAAUUUUAAAUGACUCUGAUAACAUAUUAAGAAGUGAACUUUAAACAUAACUCAAUCUUUUAAAAUCAACUCAUAAAAUAAAAUUUACACUUAUUUAUAUAUAAUAAAAUAUUUUAAUAUUUAAGAGAAUUGAAAUUUCCAACAAUAAUUAAAUCAUUGAAACCAAAAUUCAAUCCAAUAAAACUUGUAUUCUUAAAAAUGUAUUUUGGGAAAAUGAAAUGUAGAUUUUUCUGUAGACAAAAUCUUGCUAUAUGCAGGAAGCAAAGUCCAAACUUGGGAAAGUAGAUGAGCCUGCGAAACUUUGACUCUGUCAACAAGUACAAAAUCUUGCUAAAUUCAUUUUACUAUUUCCAAUGUUUCAUCUAUUAUAAAAUUGAAACUUGCAACAUUCCCAUUCCAUCACAUUCCACGCCUAAAAAUAGAUCACUGACGUUAUAUGACGUGAGACCCUACGUCAAUACGCACAGUAAAAUAAAUGUAUUCUAAUUAUCAUACAUAUCUAUCUUAAAGCAACUCCUUUAAAAGACUUAUUUGACCCCACAAUUCUCAAAAAUCAAAAGAUAAAUUAGAAGCAAGGAUAACAGAGUGGGAAUUUCCUCCAUAAUAGAACAUUUGAACUCAGUAUUAACAUUAAGACUAUAUAUAUUUAGAAUGAAAGAAACGUAGGGGUAAAGGAGAAGAAAUAUUAAUAUUGUGCUAAAUGCAUCAAAGUCUUGUUACUUUUUUAUGGAAGUCUUUCAUCACUUUUCCACUUGCUUCCCACUACCAAUUUCCAGAACCUCAGGUUUUCUUUUAGUAAAUUAUAAAUCAGAGUUCUGUUCAUAAACAGACUGCUCAAAGAAUCAAUGAAUCGUUUAAAUUACUCAUAAAAAUAUGUACUUUAUCAAAAUAAAUAUUAUCUAUAUUAUAACAAAAAAUAAAAUAAAAAAUUUAGAUAAAGUCUCCAAUGGUGUAUGUUAAACUUUGUUUAAUUUUUUAAAGUCUAUAAUUAAUCAUGGAGAUCAACAACGAAUGGCAGUAAACAUGACUAAAAUGAAAAAUACUUCUUAUUAAGUGAUUUUCUUAGCUUUUAUCUUUUAAUAGAGAAGAUCUUUUUCUUUUUGAAAUUAGAAUAAUUUGUAAUAUAAUUUAAACUAUCCUUAAAGAAACAUGGAGUGUAAUUUCCACUGCUUUUUUUUUAUUAAGAUUGUUGAAUUCCUCUUAACUGAAUUCCAUAUUUUGGUCCAAUCAUUGUGAGAUUCAAAGGUUUUUUCUUCACUCUUAAACAGUUAGUUAACAGUAUAUAUAGGUUCUCAAGUUGAGUCUUGUUAAUACUGGCAUUUGUCUUAUUUGUUGCGAUUCUACCAACCUGAACUCCUAAUCCACCAACUUUCUUAUUUAGAAAACUGUCAAACGCUGCUAUUGCUAUUUGGCUUGGCUAUAUCUCUAUGACACUAGUCAAAGACCAGUUCUAACCUCUCUUCUCUCUCUAAACACAAUUCUCAGAUUCGUACUCAUCUUUCUGUGUACAAAAUGGCAGGGUAGGAAGAGUGCUAUGAUUCUUGUGCUUCUUGGUUUCUAAUUUCGCAGGUACACUUCCUCCCUGUGGUGAUUCAUCUUAAUUUCCAUCCACAAAAUCUAGAUGAUAUGUUUCAAAUACUGUAACUUAUUGCUCCUUUUGAUGAAUGCUACUAUCUGUUGCAGUCCUAGUAAACUGAUUUCAAUCUGCAGCAGAUGAUACGUGUUAUAGUGUGAUGCAUGCAUGUGAUUGCAGCAGAUGAUUCCAAUCCUCAGUUCUUCCUCUAAGAAAGUUUUUAACUUUUCCUUGUAUAGGUCUCUGGUCCCAAAGGGUUUUUGUUAAGCCUUUUCUGUUACUGUCACUUGAUCUAUCUACUCGUAUAUUGGGCUACAAUUUCAAAUAAGAAUUGGCUUUUGGUUCGAAGUAUUGCUUUUGUCUUACAAAAUAUGCUGUGGAUUUUGAGGCCGGUGAUUCUCCCAUCUAAACACAAAUAAAGAUAUAGAUACUAUCAAAAGAGUUUUGUGCAAGAUUAUCAGUUUUAGCCAAACUUAUUUGAAGCCUUGUUUUACGAGUCUCUUGAUAAUAACAUCUUAGUUAGUAUUUGCAGUAGGAAUUUCUUAUCAAUAUGAUUUCUGGUUAGAUUUAUCUUAUAUGACUUUGGAAGAGCAAAUGUCAUAUCUCUACAAUUUGAAUGUCUAAAGAAUCAUCGAACAAUUUGGGGUUUUUUUUCUUUUUGUUUCCGGAGCAUUUGAUUUGAUUUCAAGAGUUUGUUUUUAUGUGGAUCGGAUCUAGAAUCUAGAAUCUGCAGAUAGAAAGAAGAUCAUAGUUUAAAUGAUAAAGCACACAAGAGGUUUUUAAUAUUUAUUUUACUUUUCCAAAUACAGAGCAGGCCACUAUGACAGGGAUAAUGGUCUUUGCUAUGCUAAGGUGGAAUUUUAAGCUGUCAACUCAUGUUUGACUGGAUCCAGUAACUAACUUUUAUUUUUAGAAGCAUAUUUGAAAUUCAUUCGCGUGGUUUGCCGAGUAGGAAAACAUUAAGUACUUGAACAAUUUCAACCAUGGUGGUUCAUCCGAGAUUCAAGUAGCACCAAAUCCUCUUUCCGUUGCCACACUGAAUAUGAUUAGUUCAAUUGCACAAGUUAUGCGAGAGAUAUUCUUAAUCUGGAACAUUAUUUUUCUCAGAUAAAAAACUUUUGUGAAUUUGAACAUGAUGGAUCAUCAAACCAACUGAUUUAGGAUGACUUUACUAUAUUUAUCUCUUGACUGAGGCAACAAAACUCAGUAGUGUAUCUAGUAUUUUUAUUUUUUUUUCAGUUCACAUGGAUUUAUAGUUCUACCUGAAAGUUCACCUAAUGUUUUUUUCUUCUUAUCCUUUUGUUUCUCUUAUCAGGGCAUAGUCAUCCUUUAAGGUUCAACAAGAUUUUAUCGCUGAGCAACUCUGCCUGCCGUACUGUUUCUCAAGGUGGGAAAGGUAAAAUAUAUAUAUUUAUAGGUUUUAUUUAUUACAGAUUUCAAAGAAUUUUACUGGCUAAUUAAUUAGUCAUGUUUUUUAUACAGCCUAAAAUUCUGCGUGAAUUGUAUAACAGGGGAAUUAUGUCAUUAGUUAGGUCUGUUGAUCUAGCUCCUACAUCGUAUAAAAAUGCCAAGCUCUUCUCACUAAAGGGAACUGAUGUUAGACCAGGUUUGUCCUCCCAAAUUUUUGGUCCUGAUAAGCAUAGGAGCAUGGACAUGGCAGAUUCUUACUCCAGCGAGAGUUAUGAGAAGUAUUUCCAUGACUGUCAAACAGAAGAACUGAUAGAACCAUCUAAUUCCAGCAUCUCUGGAAGCUCAAUUCCCCCUGAUGUAGCCUCUUCUUACCAGCUUACAGCCAGUUCAGAAGCUUCUGUGGUUGCCAAUAACCCAUUUGAUUGUUCUUUCAUGUCUACAAUGCAUCAUGAUGGUUAUCAGUCCAACUUUGGAUCAGAUUUGAUGGAUAAUGGAAGCCUCGAUUCCCGUAAAACUGACGGUCUAAUGAGUUUAAAACUACAAGCAUUGGAGAGGGCAUUGCUUGAUGAUAGUGAGGCUGAGGAGGAGGAGCUGGAAGAGGAAGACAUAUUUGAGGCUGUUCAAAGCAUGGAAAUUGAUCCAGACCUUGCUGAGUGGGCUGAUUCCAUGCAGAAUGUAGUCCUCCAUGACUCACCAAAGGAGUACUCUUCUUCAGAUUCCAGCAUCAGCAGCAUCAGCAGCACCAAAGAAAUAUCACUAACUUCUCAGACCCCCAAGCAGCUGCUUUAUGAAUGUGCUAUUGCACUUUCAGAAGGAAACGAAGUGGAAGGAUCAUCCAUGAUAAACAAUCUCAGGCAGAUGGUCUCAAUUCAAGGAGAGCCUUCUCAAAGAAUUGCAGCCUAUAUGGUUGAGGGACUUGCAGCUCGCCUAGCCGAAUCCGGCAAAAGUAUUUACAAAGCUCUGAGAUGCAAGGAACCUCCUUCUUCAGACCGUCUAGCAGCUAUGCAGAUACUGUUUGAGGUUUGCCCAUGUUUCAAAUUUGGAUUUAUUGCUGCUAACAAUGCAAUUACAGAAGCAGUGAAAGAUGACAUGAACAUUCAUAUCAUAGACUUUGACAUCAAUCAAGGAAGCCAGUACAUUAAUCUAAUCCAAACACUUGCUUCAAGGUCAAGUAAGCCACCCCAUGUUAGAUUGACUGGUGUUGAUGAUCCUGAGUCCGUGCAGCGAUCUAUUGGAGGCCUAAAGAACAUAGGACAACGACUAGAAAAACUAGCAGAGGCACUUGGUUUACCAUUUGAGUUCCGAGCAGUGGCAUCAAGGACUUCCAUUGUCACCCCAUCAAUGCUCAACUGUAGUCCUGGGGAAGCACUUGUGGUGAACUUUGCAUUCCAGCUUCAUCAUAUGCCUGAUGAGAGUGUUUCUACAGUAAACGAACGGGACCAACUUCUUCGGUUGGUGAAGAGCUUGAACCCAAAGCUUGUGACAGUUGUGGAGCAAGAUGUGAACACAAACACCACCCCCUUCUUGCCUAGAUUUGUUGAAUCCUACAAUUACUACUCUGCUGUGUUUGAGUCACUUGAUGUUACUCUUCCUAGAGAAAGCCAGGAUAGGAUGAAUGUUGAAAGGCAAUGCUUGGCCAGGGACAUUGUCAAUGUUGUUGCAUGUGAGGGCGAGGAUAGGAUAGAACGGUAUGAAGUGGCAGGAAAAUGGAGAGCAAGGAUGACAAUGGCUGGCUUCACUUCAUCUCCAAUGAGCACAAAUGUGACUGAUGAAAUCCGAAAACUCAUUAAGGUGAUGUAUUGUGACAGGUACAAGAUAAAGGAGGAAAUGGGUGCACUUCACUUUGGGUGGGAAGACAAAAACUUGAUCGUUGCAUCGGCAUGGAAGUUACCAAGAUAAUGAAUUAUGUUAAUUAGUAGACACACUUAUUGUAGUACUGGUAAUGUAGUCUUUGCUUGCUUGUUUAGUGUGUAGAAUAAUCCUGAUAUAUCUAUUGUAGCGUUUGCUUGCUAUACUACUAACUUACAAUCUUAAUCUAAUAACCAAAUUUUCAUUUUAUCUAACAUGGGUGGAGUAAUGGCCAUAUUUAUGUUUAAGGUAAUAAAUAUUUUUUAAUUUGAAAAUUUUCAGAAAUAAAAUUAACUAAUAUAACAUAAUGUGUUUGUCUUUUAUUUAAUAUAAUAAAUAUUAUAUAGUUCUUUUAGUUAAAAAAGUAUUCUCUUUUUUUUUCCUCCUCAUAAUUCCUUUGAAAUAUGCACUCAGUUACUCCUUUUUAAUGCUAGUUGUUAGGGUGGAUAAUCAAACUAAACCAUUCUACUAAAUGAGCCCUAUUUUAAAUGAUUCAAGAGUUAUAACAUAGGCUUACAUUCAACAAUGCUUCAUAAUGGUACAAAUGAUAAAUAUUUAAGGUCUUGAAGAUUCCUCUCUUAAAAGUUAGUUUCAAGGGAAAAAAUCAUAUCAUUUAAAUGUUUCACCAAAUGUCGCCAUCCAUACUUAGAUCAUGAUUCUCGCAUAAACUAUAAUUCAUUUAGCCUUAGCAACUCUUUACUAAUACAAUAUCAAAGCACAAAUUUUUAAAAAAAAAUGUUAACUACCAAAAAUUUGGUAUAGUUAAAAUUUGAUAUUUUUUUUAGUUCAUAUUGAAUGACACAUUAAAUGUUUAAGAGAAAUCCUACUGAUUUCACUACAAAUAAAAUCAGUAUUAUCUACGAAUUUUUAUCCACGGAUUUUAAUUCGUAGGUAAAUUCAGCAUUACCUACACACAACAUUAUUUACUAAUAUUACCUACAAAUCUGAAUUCGUAAGUAAAUUCAGCAUUACCUACCCACUAUUACUCACGGAUCUUAUUACCUACGAACUUUUAUCCACAGAUCUCUAUUAACUACCAACUAUUAUCAUAAUAAUUAUCUACAUAAUAUUAAAAAUAUUAUUAUAAUAUAAUUAAUUAUAAAAUCAUAAAUAAUAAUAAUAAUAAAUAAUAAUCAUAACUAAUAAGUAUAACAUAUUUUUAAUAUUAUAAAAUUAAUAAUAUUAAUAUAAUAAUAUAAUUAGUAUUAUAUUAAUAAUAUGAAUAAUAAUAAUAAUAAUAAUAAAAUUAGUAAUAUUAAUAGUAUUAAUGAUAUAAUAAAAUUAAUAAUAUUAGUAAUAAUAACAUUAAUAAUAUAAAUACUAUUAAUAAAAAUAUUAAUAAAAUUAAUAUUAUUUAUAAUAUUAAUAUUACUUAUAAUAUUAAUAUUAUUAAUAAUAUUAACACUAUUUUUAAUAUUUAAUAAUAUUAAUUAUAUUUAAUAAUAUUUAAGAAUAUUAAUGAUAUUCAAUAAUAUUAAUAAUAUUUAAUAAUGUUAAUAAUUUUUAAUAAUGUUAAUAAUUUUUAUAUUAUUAACUAUAUUAAUAUUAUUAAUCUUACUAAUAAAUAUAAUAAUAAUCAUAAUGUGACAACAAAAUUUGACUGGUGUAAUGUUUAAAACUUCUUUGGACAUUUCUCAAGAAACUUGGCUUUGAGCAUAGUGUAAUCAAUAAUUCCGAUUUACCCAUGUAUUUUUGCUAUUUUACCUACAAAAUUCUUCCGUAAAUAAUUUGGAUUAUAAGUAUAUUCUUACAUUAAUGUAUUUAAUUCACUUACAUUAAUGUAUUUAAUUCAUGGUAUCUUGCGAAUUUUUUAAAUAAAUUUUAAAUCUUUAAAUUGAGAAACUAAAAAUAGCUAGUAAUAUUCUUAUGUUCAAGAAACUUUUUCCAAAACCUAAAUUUAGAUAUAGCUUAUAAAGAAAUAACAUAUUUUAAAUUCUGAAUUGAAAUAGGAAAACAUCUUAUAAAAUUGUUUAAUUUAUUCUUUGAACGUCUAAUGAAAUAAAUAUCUACAUUCGUAUAUAAAUGGACGCUACAAUACUCAUAUUAGUAAAUUGAAGAAAAAUUAUACAUUUUAAUUCUUUAACUUGAAGUGACAAGAUGAUAUAAAAAAAAUAGUAAUUUGCAUGAAUAAAUAAAUCCAACAAUGCAUGUUAAUAGGUUGGUACUAGACCAAUUUAAUGGAUAUUUUUAACACUUGGUUUGGUUAACUAUUUUGCAACAUCACCAAAAAAAUGUAUCUUCCUUUCGCCUCUUAUAAUACAAAUAAACAAAACCGUGACUGAUGAAGUUAUCAUCUUGGUCCACCAUGGACAACAACUUGUGAAAAAACCUUGCACAUUGGUUGAAAAACAAGUUAACUCAUUGAAGAGUACCAAUUUGUCUGCCCAAAGAAGAGAGUUUUUCAAAAACAAAUGAGACAAAGUUCCUUUCUUUCUUAAGAUUCAAGAGCGUCAAAUUUAUUACAAGUUAUUUGAUACGAUAGGAGGUUUUUAUUCACAUGUUAUGUGGAUUAAUUAUCAGCAUUUUGUUGCCUUGUUCAGUGGUUUGGUCACAAUCAUGUGAAGAAUUUGAAACAGAUGAACAUUUUCCACAUAUCAGAUAUUUGCUUUUUGUACCCAUCAAAACAGAUAUUUUCAUUUAUUUUAUUCUUUGUUAAUAUCUAUAUACAUGUUAAAGUUUUUCUUCCUAUACUUAAAAACUACAUUUUAGAGUUUUUUUUAACAUUUCAUGUCUCCAAUUGUGUAACAGUUUCAUAUUAUCAGAAAACUAACAAGAAUUAAAAGAUAUAAAAGGAGAUAUUCUUAUGAUAAUUAAAACAUAAAAACUUUAAAUAUAAAAAACUAAAAGGUUGACACAAAUACAAGGACAUAUAAUCAAUUAAAUCUCAAAAUAUAUCUUACUGGAUUGUCUUUAAUUAUUAAUAAACUUCACUUUGAUUUUAUAAAAAUUUAAUUACACAUUAUUUUUAUUUUAUUUUUUAAAACUAAACCAUUAUCGUCUAUCAUUACUCUGGUGUCAAUUGCUAAUAAUUUUUUUUGACAUGUUAUCAAUAACAACAUUAUUAAUUACUUAUUUGUAUAAAAUAUUAACAAAAAUAUUUAAUAAUGUGAUUUAACACCUAUUACGUCUUAAUUUUUUCAUGAUAAUAAUAACUAAUAAUGAUAUUAUUAAAUAUGAGAUGGUUAAUUAGUGAUGGAAAAAAAAAUGUUUACAAUUUCUUUUAUCCCAGAACCACCAUUAGAGAGGUUUGAAUAAAGUGUAGUUAACAAUAGACUUUGUAUAUGUGCUGAUAGAAGAAGGAAUUAUCAAAAGACGGUAUAUGAUGUGGCUUGAUAAGGUUGCUUAUUAAUAAUGAGAGUGGAAAAUAGUGGAUUGGUUGAUUCCUAUCCUAACUAGUUCUGACCUUGUAUUCUUGCACUUCAUUUCACAACCACAUAAUUUCAUGGAGGUCAUGUCACAUCAAUUCUAAAUUACUAAUUUACUCAAACAAUAUUCCUAAAAAUAUGUCACUGGUUUUCAAUUUUAUUUGCAUUUGUGAGAGCAAAUAACUUAUCAGUUCCUGUAUUUUUGAUGAAAAAAACAUAAUAAAGUUGGUGGGAUUUAACAGGCUGACAAAUCUUAGAAUAUUAGCAAAAACAAAAUAAGAAUUAGAAAACCCUAGUAUAUUAUAAGAUUAUGUACAUCUUCAAGAGUAAAAGAAAAGGUAUUAAAUAUUUUUUAUUCUGGUUUUGGGUACUUUGAUGGUGAUGCAGUCCUCUUGUAAUAAGUUUUUGGAGAAAUUGUAGGUUUUAGUGGGAUAAAAAAGUUUAUUGACAACAAAAUGAGAUCCACAUGAAUUUGAGCCUUCUUAGAACCUCACAAUCUUGUAAUAAUAUCCACAUAGGGAUAUAGAUAGUACAUAAAGAAACAAAAGAAUUGAAAAGAUUAUCCAGGAGUGUAUUUUGUAACAAAGUUUAGAGCAAAGCGGGUAGGAAGCUAGCAUGGCCCUGGAGAAGUGUUUAACAGUAGGCACAGCCACACCCCAAUGCCUUUCUCCGUGCUUUCCAACUUCAAGGGAAAAGCUUGUUUUCCCAACCCACAGAGGUUUCAAGAAAUCCAUGCCGAACGCAAAACUCUCAUACCAAUCUCUCUAUUCAACCUACCGAAAAUCCCGUUUUGUUUGCAAUGCUCGUGAAGCAGUAAAUGAAGGUAAGUGAUUAUCCCAUAUGCAAGCUUCUAACCUUUCUGCACUGAGUAAACCAUCUUCUGACAUGCUUUUCCAUUUUAAUUCGUAUUAGGAAUUUCAGAAUGUGUUAUAUUGGAUAGUCUAGUUUCCCGAAGUACCUUAGGAGAGAUGUUUUAACCACUAGUACAAAGUGCAAAUUCUCCUACUUGUAAAAAAAUAUUAAAUGAAAAAGGAAAUAUAUUCAUUUUUUAAAUAUUUAAAGCGCAUUCAAUAUUUUAUAAGAAAGUAGUACAGGAAUUAGAAUUAUUCUUUUAAAUAUUUAUUGCAGAUUACAGUUUACUAGGAAUUAUGAAAUUUUGUAGGUCUCAUUAUCAUUUAAUGGAUCUCACUUACUAUUCUAUAAUUUCUAACUUUCAAUAAAUUUUAAUCGGAAACAAUGUUAAGACUUGUCUAUGUUUUAUGGUUGGGCUGCUUAGACUUGGCAUUAUUAAAACUAGUGUCAGGUUCCAGAACAAUAUAAACUUCAUAUACAUUCGGCAAUUUUAAUGUAUAGUGCAUGAUUUCUACCUGACAUUUGGGCCAUGUUUUUACUCGAAUGAAGUAGCAGAUUGAUUUUCCAAUUUCAUCUUGGAAUUUAUGUAUAAGUUUGCUUGUUUUCUUGUACCGAUUUCUAAACUAAUUUUCCAGGGCAUAAGAAAGCAUUAAAGUAGCAGCUCUAAUUUCUAAAUCAAACAAGCUUUAAUUAAGUGACUCCCUUUCUGUUUUGUUUUGUCUAAUGAAAUAAUACAUGUGCUCAAACUUGGCAGUAAAAGAGGUGACUGACGCAAACUGGAAUCAACUUGUGAUUGCCAAUGAAACCCCUGUUCUGGUAGAGUUUUGGGCACCAUGGUGUGGUCCAUGCAGGAUGAUAGCACCUGUUAUUGAAGAGUUAGCGAAGGAAUAUGGUGAAAAACUUGCAUGCUACAAGCUUAACACAGAUGACUCCCCAAACACAGCAACUCAGUACGGCAUCAGAAGCAUACCAACAGUUCUGUUCUUCAAGAAUGGAGAGAAAAAAGAAAGCAUAAUUGGUGCAGUUCCCAAGUCUACUCUGUCAGCGACAGUUGAAAAAUAUAUUGAUUUAUAAGCUGGGAGUGAUAAAAAAAAAGGGCAAGCAUUACAAUGCCAAAAAUGAAAGGAUUGGAAAGGGAGAAGUGAUAAUAUUGACAUUGCAAAUUUCAUUCUCUUUCAUUUUGUUUCCAUGCCCUAUAAGGCAAUAGAUAGUGUCUGUUUAAAAGUGUAAGAACCAUCUUCUCAUCAGUGGCAUGACACUUUGAAGUAAUACUUGUACCAUUUUUUCAAUUUGUAAAGGUUACAUUGGAUAAAGAGACCUCAUUCAAUGUUUGAAUGUUUGAUUACUUCCCCGUGCUUAGGAACACUUCAAAUUGAUCAUUGCUUGGGACAAUAAUUAACAAUUCCCCCAACAACCAGUUGCUUUUUUGAAUACCAAAACUUGCCACCUUCCUCAAGCGUGUCCUUAUGUCAAGGAUGAGUUUGUGAAAGCUAGUAAGAAAUAUUAAUAAAAAAACGUUACACUUGAAUUCACAAGAAAAAUCAGCCCCGUCAGCCACACAACCAGCCAACAAAUUUUCAUUUCUUAUAUAUAAAAUCAUAUAGUGGCACAGUGGCCUACGCCCUAUCACUACCCAACCCAAAUACUCUGCCAUCAUCGGGGGCCGAUGGCAAUACCAUUGCUCAUGUUGCAUGAGCAGCUUCUAAGAACCACACCAUCCAUACCAUCUACAAAGGCUCUCAAGGAGAAGGUUUCCAAUCAAAUUGAAGAUUACUAAAACCAUUUACUGCCCCUAGCCCGCUAAGUAGUUGGUUUGACAAAUCUUGUUGAUGAUUCAUAGCUUGAUCUCGAGCAAGAGAUGCCAUUCCUCCCCUUCCAUUCAUGAUUGAAUUAUUCACCACAGCAGCUCUCAUUCCAUUAGGCAUAGAGGAUUGACCAAGACCCAUUGUGCCAUAAUUACCAACCCCAACGCCUGAAUUACUGUUCAUUGACCCGUUACCCAUCAAGCCAUUGCCACCAUUGAGCCCUGUAUUGGCACUCACUGGCAGAAUACCAUUUACAGUUUUCACAUCAUUUCCAAGAGAACCAACACCAAUCAUUCCACCUGCACCGUUAAUCUGAGAGGACAUCAUCAUUUCAUGUAUGAUUUUCUGGACUGAGCUUUGAGUAUCACUAGGGUCAGGAUCACCUGAUAUAGAUGGCUGCUGCUGUUGCAUGGAAAUAUUAGCUGCUGGGUUAGUUGCGCUCAUGUGAUUGGCAGAUGUUAAAGUAGGGUGAGAUGUUUGUGGGGGGUUGUUAGAAGAGGGCGUCGGUGAUUGAAAAGGGGAUGAAUUUGGCUGGGCCUGUGGCACCGUAUUGGAAGAACCUGGGGAUGGAAUCUGAACAGAACUACCUCCAUAUGGACUACUUGCAUUGUUCAUUGAAUUUUGCUGUCUAGAAUUCAUUGAAUUCUGGUGGAGAAGUCCAACAAUAGUACUUGUGGUGGUUGAUGUGGAUGCCGAGUUGACAUUGUUAUUUACACUGACCAUACCAUUGCUAGAAGCAAUUUGCAUGGCAGCAGCUUGUACCGAGUUUUGAUCACCAUUUGAGUUAUGGGCCACCAUUUGUUGCUGUUGCUGCUGCUGUAAUUGUUCUUCAUGCUGUUGUGCUUGACCACGAGGUCCAGAUGAACCAUUUGUCCUCCGAGGGAACUUUGCCAAGCUAUCUGAGAGAUGGAAAAAUAAUAGAAAGAAUAGAAAUUUCAUCAUACCUAUUAUCAUGAUCAAACAGCUGGAAAUAAUUAUUAAGAAAAAAAAAAUAUUCACAAGACUUUUAGAAAACAAGAUACAAGUUAUCUCGAAGACCUAAACUUUCGUCUAAUUAAGUGAGGAAAAAAUUAGAGAAUAACAGAAAGAAUUAUAACUCAUUUCCCUGAUUAGGUGCAGGGAUCAAAGAUAGAUGUGACUGCUGAGUUGGUUGCAUAUAAUCCAUGUCGUGUUAAACAAAAACGGUUCCAUGCUUGGGGCAAAAAAGCACAAAGAAAAAGUCUUGCUCCUCAAGAAGUUCAGUCAACUUUCACCAGUAUCAUGACCUCAAACCUACCCUAUUUACUGUUUGAAAAUAUUAAGUGAGUGAUUUAUUACAUAUCUGUGUCCCCCCAAAAUAGACAUGAGGAUAUUUUAAUGUUAGGAAGUCAAAGACAUUAAUACCAAGAUACAGAAACAGGAUUCAAGUACAAAGUAAAACAGCUGACAAAGGAAAAAGUCUUUCCUCCCAAAUAAUAGUCUCGAAUCUCAAGUUGAAAUAGCCUAAUAGUAAACUCCAACAAAUAAACCUUUAGGGGAUGAACUCCAAUUGUCCACUCUUGAUUCCCUUCAACAUCUAUUUAUCAUUAUUAUCGUACCAACUACAUCUCCAAGCCAAAUUCCAAAGCAAAAUACCAAGAGGGAUUGCAAUUUCUCUAUAUGCAUAUUGCUUGAUAGUUAAGUAACCUAGGCUAUUUCUUCCUCUCCUGACCAUAAAGGUAAAUUCCAUGCGGGCUCAAGAAGACUUUAUUCCAUCUCACAUACCUCCAAACCAAACACUUAAGCAUACAUCAAUCUUCCAUAAAAGUGUCCUCCACUAUCCCUAAAAUCCAGAGACGGACCCUUAACAUUUAACAACUGUUGUUAGUAGGCUUUUCAAGUACAACUACACAUUUACAACUUGAAUCUCUAGGACCAACUCUUAACCAGAUCAUGAACAAUCAAUCCUCUAUCUUUGUAUCUUUAACAACCUUUUUUGUCAUAAGGAAACUUCGUCUGGAAUUGAUUCCAUCACCAUGCAUAGCUUAGAAAGGUUGGAUGCAAGCUCCUCAAAUAUCAACCAAGUAGGACUAUGUUGAGACAAAAACUGAUAUCCAGAAAACAACUCUAAGCUGUAAUGUAUAAAGGUCAAGUAGGAAACUAAACAUGUCACAAAGAACGCAAUUUCUACACAAUGCAAUUUUUAAAUUGGAAAAUAGAAAUGGUAAAACCAAAAUUACAAAAGUAUAAGGAACAGAUUUUUCCUUUUAAUAAAGUAUUAUUUACAGACACAUUCAUGUGCAGACUUAAAAAUGAGAAAUAAACAAGUAAAUUAUUGACUUACCCAUAGGUCCAGUCCGAGUUUCCCUGCUGUAAUCUAUCAAGUCUUUCAUACUAUUUACAACUUCUGAUAUCUGCAGUAUAAACAAGAAACAAUAAACUUAAGUUUGUUGUGCUCACUCUGUUUGAAUAGAGUUCAUUGGAGAUUAUUCUCCAAAUGAAACUCAAUUUUUCUGAAUUUAGCCCUUGAUAAUCACUCCUCCAGAAGUCUGUUUUUCUAUAAAAAUAUAAAUGCACCAUCAAACAUGAGCCAGUGAUUACUGGGCCCCAACUCCUCUCAGGAGAUCUUAUUAAAACAUGAACAGAAACCAGCAUAAAUGCUAUAUUUGCUGUCAAAUUGAGAGAAACAAAAAUAAGAAAGGCUUCCCAGUUAAAAUAACCAAGGCAAACGGGGUGUUCUGAUCACAAAUUCAACAGUCAGGGAUAGGUAACACAAAAAGACAUGGUAGUUCCGGAAAAAGAAACCAAGUGCAAUUUGAAGCAUUAAAAGGAAAUAAAUACAUAAUUUCCCACAAUAAAAUAUAUAUUAAGAUUAAACACUAAAAAUAUAUGGGGUAAGCAAUGUCUUAAGAAUAGAACACUACCUGUAGGCAGCGCACAUAUCUCUUUGUGUAUCCUAAAUCAUUAACCAAUGGUACUUCUAAGGCUUUAGCCAACUGACGGGCCGAUGCAACAAACCUGGAAAAGAAGCGUGUAAAAAUAUUAAAAGAAAAAACACAGACUUUCAUAAAAAGCAAAACCUAAUUAAGACAAAAAGAAGUCAAGUAAAAGGACUAGUGCAAUCUAAAUUAUAGACAGUAGACAAAACAGAAGAAAGUAGAGUAUAUAAGAAUUGGAAAUGAAUGUAUAAAGCAUGAAACACGUCCCAGAGUGUUGUAACAGUGAGACUCACACGAAAAGGCACCAAUAUUUGUCAGGAAAAAGAUUGUCAAUGAGAAUGAAACAAAAAAGAAAUAUACAAAUCUAUACAUUUGAAAUAGAUCCGCCUAACACGCAAAAAAAAUCCAUUUACGUUUUAAUUGAGACAAUAAAAAAUAUAUUAGUGCAAUAACUUGUUCACACUAAACAAAAAAAUUGUUGUAAAAAAUACAUUGAAAAUUAAGGAAAUUUUUGUAAUACUCAAACUUCAAGAGGGGAGCUAAAAUCCCAACAAAACAAAAGGGUUUUACACAGAAAACAUUAAAAGUAGAAUGGCACUUGAACAUUAAAAUACUACCUGACUAUGCUAAAAAGAUUACAAACAUUACUCAACACAGCAAAUGUUACUAAUUGCAAUCACCAGAUAAAAGCAAAAGUUACAAGAACAUAGUCUAGCCACAUGCCUAAAUCCAAAAAUAAAUACAAAACACAUCGCUCAUUCCACUGUUGAGGUUAAAGUAAAUGGUGAACUGAGAUCUGAGAACAGUGAAGGCAGCAGAAGUGCAGACAGCAAUGUUAUCAAGAUCAGGAGGAGGGUUACAAGAAUGUAAAAUGUAGGAUCCUAACAAGGAUCAUAAGAUCCUACCAAAAUUAUAUAAAUAUAUUUCAAUACACAAGUAUGAUAAUGAUAGUAUAAUUGGAUAAUACAUAUAACAAAAUCCCUGAAAUUCAGUUAAAAGUUUAAAUAUCUAUUUUACAAGUAUUGUAUAAUUUUAUAAAUAUUGUAAAGUAUUAACAAUAUCUCAGUCUAUUCUAAAUAAUAAUUAUGAAAAAAAACAGAGAACAAAUAUAUCAUAAAACCCAAAGAAUAUAAGAAAAUAUCUUCAAAUAAAGGCAAAAAUGAACCCAACUCAUGAGUUUUCAAGGGAAAAUAAAAAGGGAAAGAAGACAGCCAAAUUGUAGAAUGAAAAAUAAGUGUUUAGAGUACAGAUGCAAUGGUUUGCCAAGAACAGAAUACAAAAGGAAAAAUACAGCAAAUCGCUCUUAUCAACAAAAAUCCAAGCACUCAGUCACAGUCCCAGCAAGUCAGAGAGAGUGAGAGAGCCAAGUACAAGAGCCGGAUACUGAACGCAGAUCAUAGACACAGGGGUCGAGUGAAGACUGAGAGAGGCCAAGAGACAGAAUCGAUUGAGGGGAAGAAUACAAUUUGUCCAGGUCUGAAAAUGGGGGAGAAGCAGAAACUAUCAAUUUAGGACAACAAAAAAAACUAUUAAAACAAAUUUGGGUAAAACCAGGUCACGCAACCCAACCCAAAAAGCAAAGCUGGCAAUACCAGAAAAAGAACCAAUUACACCAACUCAUUCCGAUCCUACUAGGAUGUUGUUACAUCCUACCACUUCAUGAUCUUACUCAAAAUGCAGCUUGUUAACAGGAAGCAAGAUUGCAAAAUGAAGCAAAAUCACCAUUUUAAUUGCAAUCCUGAUAACACUGCCUCACAAACAAAGAAGAAGCUGACAGAGAAGGUCAUCAAUGAGUCUCCAACUGAGAUUGUAAAUGAUAGUUAUUUUCUUACGUUGAAUCUGAAACUAAAAAAAAAUGUUUUUUAUGACAAGAACACAGUUCUUAUGUAAGAACUGUUCUUACAUAAGGAGUCCAACUCAACGAACGUGCAAUCUAAAAAGAACCAGUUCUUAUUUGUACAAACAGCAGAAGCAACUCCAGUUAGAGUUGUGCUAAUGUACAUAAGCAUGCUCAAACAUUCAUAUGAAUCCCUUUUCAAAAGGGUAAAGGAAGUAUGUCAUGCCCCCAUCCCAUGGUCUUGCAAUAAGAAAGGUACAAGAUAAUUAAAACAAAAUUAUCCAGUUUUAAAUUAAAAUUAAUAAAAGACACAAAAAUUAACAUAAAGGAUAAAUGGUAAAAUUAACUUACAUAUUGCAAUUAUUUUGUAAUUCUGGAACAGAUAUAUUUGGUGUUGCAUUUUGAGUAAAAGCCUGGUAUUUUUGAGCAACUGCUCCAAGCUGGCUAACCUGUACAUACAAUAAUAAUAAGAUAAGAAAAUACCAUAAUGUAUAAUAUAAUAUCUAAAUGCAUAGCAAAGCACUAUUCUGUCAAAAUCUCUACAGUACGAAACCAGCAUUACAAAAGGCAUUCCUAACAAAAUAAUAAUCAUAACAUUAGCAACAAGACUAGGAAUCCAUAGAUCCUAGCAAAGAUCUCAUCCAAUUUCAAUCUCAAAACUUAUUCCACACCUACAGUAAUAGAGAAAAAAUUAUCAAGACUAACAAAAACCAACAAAGAGUAAAUGGGCUCAUUAAUCAAUAUCAAUAUGCAAAGUAUGUUUGUCUAUUUAAAUAAACAGAUAAUAUAAUAGUUGUAAUUAAAGUCCAAUCAGAAUGCAAUUAAUGGCAACCUGUGGUAUUAACAAUCUCCUCGGUAUGAGCUCCUCAUGGCGCCGAGCACAAAAUUCCCAAGAACAUAUCUGCAAAUGAAAAUGCCAAUUAAUCUUUCUUUCAUAUAAAGAAAAUCAAUAAUGACAAUAAAAUAUAAUAUAAGCUGUCAAAUUAUUUUAAUAUUAAUAUUUUCAUAUAUAACCUUCAGGUCUGGAGAGAAAACUAUUCGAAGUUGACCAUCACGAACAACUCGAAGUUGCUCAAAAACGCUUUCUUGUAUUGCUUUUGCGUAAUCUAGAACUAUCUGACCAGAGGUAUUAUGAUAUUCACGAGGCAUGUCAACAUAAAGUAGUUCUUCCAAAGUACCACUUUCAUACUUUAUCUUGAAAAGCCGGGGAAGAACCUCAACAGUUGCUUCUGGGAAAAGAGAAUGACAGCUAAGAAAGGCAAUAAGCACUACACACCCAUUCACAUAUAUUUCAAGAUGGCAACAUUUUCAAACAGAAAAGAACCAAAAAGUAGAUUGAACAGGGACAUAUACGAAGAAAUAACCCCAAAAACCAAAACUUACCAAAACCACGUCCAGGCUUGCGAUUACAUAUUUCGCAGUGCCAUACAUCCUGAAAAUAUUUAAAGAAUUCAUCUGUAAUGUUAAACUGACGAGUAGCAACAAUGAAACUGCUAUAUUUGGUUCCUUGAAUACCAGAAUUUAUCCAUUGCAACAUUCAAAGCAAUUUGUUACUGAAGUUUUAAAGCGACAUUAUAUGGAAAUAGUGACAACAAAAUCAUGAUGCCAAUCAGUAAUCAGUAAGUAUAGUACAACUGUACAAUCAAUAAUGCAAUGAGAUGAUUAAUUCAUAAACUUAGAUAGGGUUAUACAUGACUCAAAAUUAAUAAGACAAACAAUUUUGUUUAUAAGGUUUUCUCUUUGAAGAUACCUGAAGGGAAACUCCAGUUGUUUGUCUUCCACUUCCAUACAUAGAAACACACCAUUUCUUCUUGGCAUUAGGAGCAAAAUACUCAGCAACAAACUUUCUCCAGAACUCAAUAUUGUUAUCCUGCAUGAAAUCAAAUUGAAAAUAUCACUUAAAUGAGACUUCUUGUAUGCAGAAAUAGAGUAAGGUCAAUACAUAGGAUCAUAGUUGGUUCUUACUUCAGGUCUAUGUUGUUGCUGAUACAUGUAAUGUGUCAGCCGCCUAGCACACAUUCCGGGUUCAUAUGCUGGUUUCACAGUUCUCAUUAGCAUGCUCUGCUGUUGAAAUUGCUGCGGUAGCUGGGACCGUUGUUGAGGCAUUGCCUUCAAGAGUUGUUGCUGCUGAUGUUGUUGUUGUAACUGUAAAAGCCUGUGCUGGCGCAAAAGAUUGAUCUGGGCAACAGUAGCCUGAGAUGAUUGACUAGACAUGUGGAGGAAUUGCUGUUGCUGUUGUUGUUGUUGUUGCUGCUGUUGCUGCUGCAAAAAUAAUGGUUGAUCAGAAUGCUGAGGCUCCAUUUUAACAGGUCCCAGUGUUCUCAUUGUCUGCAUUUGUUGUGGCUCCAAUUUAACUGAAGAAAGGUUCCUUAAUGACUGCAAUGGCUGCUGCUGCUGUCCAAGUUGAUCGUUGCUUACCUGGGGCUCUAGCUUUACUGGUCCCAUACCACCUAUUCCUCCUCGAAUUGAUUGAAAAUGCUGCUGUGGAGGCAGCUGCUGCGUAUUUAGAGGGCCAGAGAACUGUUGCAUUGACUGCUGACUGUGUUGGAAAUUUUGAGGUUCAAGCUGUUGGGAAUGUUGUUGAUGUUGUUGAUCAGGCAACAUCUGGUUACUAGAAGGGUUUGAAAAUUGUUGACCCUGACCUUGACCAGAGGAAGCAGCAUUUACUAUAUUUGACUGUACAAACGUGGAAGAAGAAUUAUUGAAGCUCAUUCCAUUGCCAACAGUGGAGAGUGGAUCUGUUUCAGCUCCAGUAUCAAUUGCUCCCCGUUGGCUACUUCCUGGACCAGAUAGCCCAGGAUUCUGAGCUCCAUUUGGGAAAGAUUGAUUCAGUAUGGAAGUUACAUUGGACAUAUUUCCUAGAAUGUUCAUGUUGUUGAACUGAGUACGAGGAGACACAAGUGAAGGGAAGGAUGUCUGCGGCAUGGGACCCCCUUGAGCUCCUAGCAUUCCAGAAUUUGAUCUUAAAAGAGAUGGUGAAACAGACUGGGCACCACCAAUGGGAGUGGGUGGCCCCGGAGGCACCAUCUUUCGAUGUCACGGCCUUCAAGCAAUCACCUAAGCAUAACAACUAAGUUACUUAAAACACAAGUUCAACAAAGUACAAUUACACAACAGCUUGUGAGAAACUGGGCACGUUCACAACGCUCAACCCAGAAAGUACUACUUCAACCCCGAGUUCAAGGCAAAAGUCUUCACUGUGAUCCAACAGAAGUACGUGGUGUUGAGUUUUACCAAACACAAGCCAUACACCAAAGAAAACCAAAACCAAGAAACAUUCUUUGAUUCUGAACAUUACAAUUGCGCUACCUCCCUUAAAGGAGCAACCUCCAAACAGCUCUCGCAUGAAUCUCUGUACAACACAUGACUUCUCAGAUCCAACCCAUCCAUCAGUGCAUACAAUUAUACCCAAGAAAAACCAUUAACAAAAAAGAAAGCCCGAAAAUUUCAACAAACAAUACUAUCAAACUAAACACUAAAAGAAACUCUAAAAAUUAAAAGAAAAAAAUUAAUCAAAUUAAGACACAUCUCACACCAAAAUCAAUAAAACCCGAAGAAUUACCAUUUUUUAAAAGCCCAAGCUUAAUUGAAAAAGGGGAGAAAAGUGUAAAGCAUAAACUUCAUCAAAGUAGUGACAAAAAUAGCAGCCGAUCGAAGCUUAGCUUAAGCGAAUCAGCGAUCCAGAGCUACAAAUGACACAAAUGAGGCGCAGUAUUGAGAAAAAACAGGGACAGACACUUAGACGAAAGGGUGAGAACGUCGGAAGUGUAAAGUUAGCAGUUGCCAUGACUCACCGAGAGUUGAAAUUUGCGAAAUUGAAUAGUGGCAGAAUCCGGUGAGUGAUCAACAGAGUGAGAAUGAACGAAAAGCGUAGAACUUUGCAGUUGGGGUUUCCGAGUUCGCAUCCAGAAUAAGUGUCUAGGGUUUUCUCAGUGCAGAAGCAGCAGCAUCUUCUUUAAUCUCAGUGAAACGCACUGUUGGUGUUGUUGCUGCUGGUGCUUCAUGGCGUGUGUUCUAGAGAGAGAAAGUGUAGAGAGAGAAAGAGAGAAAGGGUCAUUGCGGACGUCAAGAUUGUAUUCGAUCAGAUUGAAUUUUCUUCAUUCUUUGGUCCUUCCUUUUCGCUUCUAUUCCCUUUCUUUCUCUCUCUUCCUCCUCUCUCACAAUGAAGUCAAAUGCCAUUCCACUCUCGUUAUGCACAUGCACCAUGUUGUUCAUCAUCAUCAUUCAUAAUGAUGUUAUCUCAUCAUCAAUAUCUUUGUGCAUCAGUAUCAUCAUCAUUAUCUCUACCACAUACUAAUAGCUAGUGCAAUACUAAAUUACGUAUAUAUCCUUUGUUUAUUCUUCUUUUUACGGAGGUAAUCCCUCUCCGUUUUAAUGUGUGGCAUGCUUUGUGACCAUUAGGUGGAUGAUUGCUUUCACCUAACCUAAAAUCUGUGAUUAGCUUAAUCAACUCUAUUUUUAUAAGAUAAGCAUUUUGUUACAUUAAUAUUUUUAUUUAGGUCAGAACAAAUAUUUCUGUAUAACUAUAAUUUAUAAUGAAUAAAUCUUUAUAUUACAAUAAAAAAAGUUAUAUUAAAUAUUUUUUAAGUAUAAGUUAUAUUUCAGUAUAGGAUAAAUAAUUUAUAUUAUAAUAUAAGAUUAUAUUUAGGAUAUUAUUAAGAGAAGGAAUUUUUUAGUUUUUCAAAAAUAUAAAAUUGGAAAAGAACAUUUCUUAUAUUUGAUUUACCUUUUAAAAAAUAUAACUUUCAGAAAAUAUUUUUUUAUGAGAAUGAUUAAAUGUUCUCAUAAAAGCAUUCCUAUAUAGAUUAGAAUAGAAAUUAAGUUAAAAAUUAUCAUAUUGCUUUAAUUAAAUUAUUCAAUGCAGUAACAUAUUAAAAAAAAUUAAAAAUAGUACUCCUUAGUUUGUAAAAAGUUAUAUAAAUAUUUUUUAAAAAUAUUUUUUAUCAAUCAAAUAUCCUUGGAAUAAUAAUUUCUAGGAUUGUAUUGAUUGUGAUCAUGAUUUUCGAAAAUAAACACCUCUUAAUUAUUGAUCACAUUAUAAAGAAUAUUUGAAGUUCAAUUUAAAAUAAAUAUAUAUAUAUAUAUAUUAAAAUAUUUAAACUGUUCAGAAAAUAAGUUUUUUUUAAGAAUUUCUUGAUCAAAUUAAACUUGACAUUAAAAUUAAAUUUGAUUAAUAUAUAAAUCAAUAAAUAUCUAAUACAUAAAAUUAAGAAAAGGCAUGUUACCAAAUAAAAGCAAUAAUAAUAAUAACUCCUAAAACUGAUCUCCUUUAUAAAAAAAAACCUUGUAAACCGUUUUGUUAAAGAAUAAUUCUUAAAAUAAAAACUUCCAUUUUAUAUGAUAAUCAAAACUUAUAAUAUAAAACGUAAUUAUAACUAAUAAAUAUUUUUGUAUUAAAUAAAAUGUAUUACAAUUAAAAUUCUAAAUAAAUAUAUUAAAUAUUCUAUAUUAGUUUUAUAAUAAAUAAUUAAAAUUUUAGCAUAGUUAUUUUAAAAUUUAAGCAAUCAAAAUAUUCAGAAAAAUCAAUAUAAAUUAAAACAACUGUUUGUGAGUGUAUUAGUUAUCAUUCUGUAUAAUGACAGUAUUUUUAAUUGUUUUUUUACACGUUUUAUCUAUUUCGAUCUACCAUUUACAACAUCUUUUAUUUCUAACUUGAAUUUUGAUGCUCUUACAAUAAAUAAUUAAUGAUAAAAGUAAUAUCGUAUUGUGAUAUGAAUUAUUUAUUAUCAAAUUUAACAAUAUUAUAAUUAAUAUAUUUUAAAAUAUCUAUUUAUUAUAAACUUGGUUAGAUAGAAUAACUUAAUAUUCAUUUCGUACAAGAAGCAACUAAGAUACUAGUAUACAUAACACUAAAAGUAUAAUAGUAUGACUUAGAGAGAUAUCUUCAUUAUUUUUGUAAAAGAAAUAGGUAAAAUUAUAUCCAAAUGAGAGAAUUAAUGUUGUUUAAAGAAAUUCUAAUUGCGAGAAUAAAGAUAAUGAAUAUAUACAUAGGGGUUUCUGUUCUUGGGUAAAUUUAUUUGGUCUUCAUAUAUUCCGCCUUCCAAAACUUUUGUUCUUUGGCUUCCUACAUAUUAACAUAUUCAAAAUAAAGAUCUACAUAUUUGUUUUAUUUGUACGCUUUGUGAAAAACACGAUGAAUCUAUUCAACAUUUAUUUUUUGAAUGUGCUAACGUUUUGCGUAUUUGGAGUUGGGUUCAACACAUUUUUCCUACUUAUGAUUUCUCUAAUAAGGAUUAUCUUCUUUCUUUUAUUAAGAGUGAUGGUAUUCCGUUGGUUAAAUUGGUUAAACUAGCUGUGAUAACUUUUUCUAUUUGGAUGAUAUGGCGUAUGAGGAAUUAUGCUCAUUUUCAUGAUAAGAUUGAGGUUUCUAGGGCUAUUUUGGUUAUUAAAGAUUUAACUUGUCUAGUGGGUAGUUCGUCUAAAGCUUCAAUGAAGAAUGAUAUGUUCGAUUUCAAUGUGCUCAAGUUUUUUGGUAUUAACACUCGUACUGGUAAAGUUCUACGUCCUCUUCUUGUUAGAUGGGAGUUUCCUUCACCACAAUGGGUUAAAAUUAACAUUGAUGGGGCUGCUAGGGGUUAUCCAGGUCUUGCCGCUUGUGGAAGUAUUUUUCGUGCGAGUAUGGGGAAGUUUAUUGAAGCUUGUUGGGUAUGAAGCCAAGACUAAUUGGGUUGGGCUGACUAGACACAUGUUUAGUGAGUGGGCUUAAUUAUUAUGUCCCUUUAUUAUCUCUAUUUAUCUCUAUUUAAAGAGAUCAUUGUACUUGUAAUUAGUGUGCAACAGGAUAUAAUGUAAACCUAAUAGUUGCCCGGGUGGAUGUAGGUUGCAGUUGGCGACCGAACCACGUUAAAUCUUGUGUCGUUUAUUUUUCUGUAGUUGAUUCGUGAUUAUGUGUGUUGUUUUCGUGUGCGUUUUUCCCAUCAAGUGGUAUCAAGAGCCUUGGUUCGUUUACACACUAGAGAUCCAAUCAGCAGAAAUUAAUCGACGAGAUGUGAAAAUUGCGGUUGUAGUAGCGUCCCAGAGUUAGGGUUUCGCAGAGGCGGGAACAAUGUCCCAAAGUUAGGGUUUCGCAGAGGCGGCAACAACAUCUCAAAGCUAGGGUUUUGCAGGGGUUGCAGCAGCGUCCUAAGGCUUAGGGUUUCCCAUAUCUGCUUCACAACAGCGGUGACCAGCGACGGUGGUGGUGCAGAGCGCCAGGGCAGUGGGGACUACGACCAGGUCUGUUGGUGAGUGAUUUUGGGUGGUGCAAUUUUUGUGUUCUUGAUUUAAAAAAAAAAGAUUGCCAAGAUCUGAAAUUAGUUGUACCGAGUAUCUCGUCUAGUCAUUUGAGAUGGCAGAAGAAGGGAAGUUUCAAAUUGAAAAUUCGAUGGUACAAAUUUCAGUUGGUGGAAAGUGCAAAUUGAGGAUUUGCGAGUUCAGUUACUGAGCACAUCAAUAUUCGAUCUUAUCCAGACUUACGUCAGUGGGCAUUAAGUUCGAUGAUGAAGUUCAAGCUUUACUAUUGCUAUUGUCUUUGCCUGACAGUUGGUCCGGAACGGUUACAGUAGUUACCAGUUCAGCGGGAUCUGAUUGAUUCACUUUUGAGAAGAUUCGUGAUCUCAUUCUUGGCGAGGAUGUCCAAAGAAGGAGUUCUGGGGAAUUAUCUAGUGAAUCGCUUUAUGUCAUCAGAGGAGAGAAAUAUCAGAGAUAGUGGGAGCAAGAACAAAAGAAGGAGUCAGUCAAAGACUUGGGAUUGCUCAAGUGUAACAUGUUGGAACUGCAAGGAGGUGGGGCAUUUCAGGAAUCAAUGNNNNNNNNNNNNNNNNNNNNNNNNNNNNNNNNNNNNNNNNNNNNNNNNNNNNNNNNNNNNNNNNNNNNNNNNNNNNNNNNNNNNNNNNNNNNNNNNNNNNACGAGGACCUCUUAGUCUGUUGCGCGGAGAGCAGUGUGGAUUCCUGGGUCAUGGAUUCUGAAGCAUUGCAGAAUCUAGUUAUUGGAGACUUUGGAAAGGUAAGACUAGCGGACAAUAGAACUCUUGAUGUUAUGCGGGCAUGGGUGACAUAGUGUUGAAGACACCAAUUGGUUUUUGGACUUUGAAGGAUGUCAGAGUUGUUCCAAGCUUGAGGAAAAGUUUGAUUUCUGUUAGGCAGUUGGACGAACAGGGACAUGAAGUGAAGUUCGGAAAUCAGCAGUGGAAGGUCGUCAAGGGAAAUCUUGUCAUGGCCUGCGAAAGAAAGAGAGGUUCGUUGUAUAUAGUCAGAUUACCGUGUCUGAGGGAGUGACCAUCCCAGUUCAGAAGAUAAACAAAGUCCGGUUCACAGAAUCUCGUGGGUAGAAUAGGGUUGUCUUUACAAGAGAGAAACCCAAAGCCACAGGUCAGAUUCAAGAUGAACGAGCAUGGAAAGGUUCAGGUAGACCAGUCAAAGGUACUUGUGACAGUGGGAGCACGGGUCAUGCUUCAGCUAAGGUUCCUAGAUGACAGUGGGUUAGGAGAACCAGUAUUCCAACGGUUGAAACUUCUCCAGAAAAAUUCUUGUUGAAUAUGGAGAGUGUUUGUUUUCAGGUUGUUCCAGGAUCCGGCAGUUCCUGUAAGUGGGAGUCGGUAGGAACAAAGAACGGGUCAGUGACUGACAUGUUGAAACUCAGGUUGUUCCAGGAUCUGACAGUUCCUGUAAGUGGGAGUCGGUAGGAACAGAGAACAAGUCAGUGACUGACGUGUUGAAACUCAGGGGAGUUUUAACGAAGUUUUCAAAAUGAUUAAGAAGGCUGGUGGCAACUAGAGGUGGAACAGUGAGUUCCAUCGACAAAUUACAGAAGUACAUGUACACAGUUGAAGCGCAAGUGAACAUUGUUCCGUGACUUCAAGUGGAAGAUUGUUGGUAUGAAGUCAAGACCAAUUGGGUUGGGUUGACAAGACACCAUGUACACAGUUGAAGCGUAGGUGAACAUUGUUCCGUGGCUUCAAGUGAGAGAUUGUUGGGUAUGAAGCCAGGACCAAUUAGGUUGGGCUGACUAGACACAUGUUUAGUGAGUGGGCUUAAUUAUUAUGUCCCUUUAUUAUCUCUAUUUAAAGAGAUCAUUGUACUUGUAAUUGGUGUGCAACGGGAUAUAAUGUAAACCUAAUAGUUGCCCGAGUGGAUGUAGGUUGCAGUUGGCGACCGAACCACGUUAAAUCUUGUGUCGUUUAUUUUUCUGCAGUUGAUUCAUGAUUAUGUGUGUUGUUUCCGUGUGCGUUUCCCAUCAAAGCUUUCUCUGCGUUUCUUGACGUUCAGACUGCUUUGGUUGCUGAAUUUUAUGGAGUUAUAUAUGCUUUGGAGGAAGCUCAAAAGUUGGGUCUUACUAAUGUCUGGCUGAAAUGUGACUUUGUCUUGGUUUGUGUUGCGUUUACCGCUAGGACAAAUGUUCCUUGGAUGCUUCGUAAUCGAUGGAAUACUUGUCUUAAUUACUGUGGACAGGUUUAGGGUUACUCAUAUUUUUCGUGAAGGGAAUGUGUGUGUUGAUAAGUUAGUUAAUUCAUGAUUUAUUCAUAGAGAAUCCUUUCAAUGAUAUAAUAGGCUUCCAUCUAGUUUGUUAUUAAAAUUAUUUAUUAAUAGGUAUAGUUUACCUAUAUAUCGUUUUUGUUAACAUAUGAGUUUUGAUCUAGUCUUUCCAUAUUUUUAUAUUUUCUUUCUUUUUCUUUUUUUAAUAAUAUUUUUUUUCAUGACAAAUGAUUGUUGUUAUUUGAUGUGUCAAUCCAGCUGAGAUGUCAAGUAGUAUAGUGAUGCAUAACAUGAAAGUUUGUAUGAAAAAAAUAUAAUAAUGAAACUUCUACUAUUUCAUCUUAUUUAUUAUAAUUUAUAAUAUAAAAAUGUAAUCAUAUCAUUUUUUUUCUUUUAUUUACAUUUAAGAUUUUGUUUACAUUAUGUUUAUUAGUACUAGGAAAUAAUUGCUUCAACUUUAAAAAUAAUGGAAGAUACAAUACAAAUAUUUUAAAAAAUAAUGGAAGAUACAUCUUUGUUGAGGGUUUUUCCUUUUAUACUCUUUAUAUUUAUUUCCAUCUUCAUUUUUGCAGUAUCAUGUUUUACUAAGUGGGUAGUAAUGUAAUAAUUAAAACUAUUGUUUUUUUAUGUUACUCACUUGCACACUUUCAAGUCUUUUUUUAUUGAAAUUAUAAUGUUUAAAUGUAUAUGCAUAUGUAAUUAAUUUAAUUUUUUUAUAGUUAUCCUCUUAACCACAUACUAUAAAUGAAAAUGGAUAACUUGUAUAUAUAUAAAAGUUCAUCAAGUAUGAAUUUAUUAAUUAUAAUCACAAUAUUACAUAAAAAUAUCAAUAAUGGUAUAAAAUGGUAUAAAAGAACUUUAAACAAAUCAAUUGAAUAUAGUGAUAAAUUGAUAUCCUAUAAUCUGGAGUGACCAAAUAAUGAUUGAUUUUUUCUAUUAUAAUUUUGUGACUGAUGAGAAAAAUAAUCGUCAAGUCACGUACAACUAGAAUUUUCACUAUUAUUUAUAUUUAAUCAUUAUUUCAAUUACACAUAAAUUUAACAACUAUUUUUUUAACUUUGAUGAACUAUUUUGAUAGCUAAAAGUCAAUUUUGUGUGUGAACUAAUUGAUAAAGUUCAUAAUAUAAUUAACAUUAAAUCAUAAAUAAUUGUAAAUCAAAUUCAUCUAAUAUCAUAUAUCAUAUUACAAUAUAUAAAAAAUAACAAAUAUUUUUAAAAUAUUCAUAUUAAAUUCAAACUCAAAUACUAUCCUAAUACUUAAGGUCAUAUGUACCAUAUUACAGGUACAAACCACCAUAAUCAACUCACUUUUAAAAGACUAGUAUUAAUAUGCUCUAGCUAGUAUAAAUUUUACCUCACAAUCUUCUAUAAUUGGAUAAUAUAAUAUUCAAUAGCCAUUAAUUACUCACAUCACUCUCUGUCUUUAUUCAAAUCAUAUUAUAAAAAAACUACUUAAUAUUCAAUCAUAUUAAUAUUUCUGAUUUUAAAUAAUUUUUAAUAGAUAAUUAUCAUUACAUAAGAUGGAAUAAUCUACUUAAAAUAAUGAAAGGAUAGUCUAAAUAUGAUUUUGAAAAUAAAAAAAGUAUAUGAUAAAAUUAUAACAUUACUGAACUUGUUAUAUGAAAAAUAAUAUUAAAAUAAUAACAAUUAAAAAUAUAUCUAUAUUUUUAUCACAUCAAAAUAGUAUUAAAAUAAUAAAUAUUAAAAAUAUAUAUGAUUUUUUAAAAUAGUAUUAAAAUAAUAUACGUGAUAAUUAUUUUUUAAAUAAAAAAUGUUAUAUAGUUAUUUUUUAAUGAAAAAAAGUUAUUUAAUUAUUUACUUUAUUGAAUAAAUAAAUUAUUAUUUUUAUUAAAAGAAAAAUUUAUCUAAUUAAAAAUGUGAUCUUUAUAUAAUAGUAUAGACAAUAUAAUAUUAAAUUGAUAUAUGGGGUAGUUAUUUUAUAAAUGAAGAGGUUAUAUAAUUAUAUUUUCAUAAAUAGAUAUUUUUUAAUUAUUAAAGGAUAAAAAGUUUUAAUUAAAAAGUAAUAAUAAAAAAAUAUAUAUUAAUUUUUAAAUAUAUAAAAGCAUGAAGUAACAAGAUGACUCAUUAGGUUUACGUGGGUCCACGUUGCUCUUUAUUUAUUUUACAAUUGACACGUCCAAGUCUUGAAGGUCCCUCCACUUAAUUCUAUCUCAAAUCACACACAUUUUAUCUUUACUCAAAUUAAAAAAUUUAUAUAUUGCAUACAAUACAUAAAUUUUUAAAUAUAACUAAAAGAAUUAUUAAAUAAUAAUAAAUUUAGAAACUAAAAAUAAUAUAUUAACUACAUUAAAUAUUAUUUUAAAAACUAAAAAUUUAUUAUAUCUAAAAUAACUUUUAUUAUUAAUAAAAAAUUAUAAAAUAUUUUAUAAAUUUAUAUUUAAAUUAUUUAUAUAAUAUCUUAAUUAUUAAUAUUUUAAAUUUUGAGUUAAUCUUUAAAAUAUUAAUAUGGAUUAAAUUAUAAUAGUUAAUUGUUAGAUAUCAAUUUAAAAUUGUUUUAUAACUUUGUAUUAAUAAUACAAUUAUUUAAAUAUUAAUAAUUUAUAAAAUAAUAUAUAAUUUAAUUAAAUAAUAAUUAAUUUUUUUAUAAUUUUAGAAAACACUCUUAAAUGAAUGUUUUAAAUUUGUUAUGAAAAGCUGGUACAUGUUGAAUUCAAUGCCAAGUACAACCUUUUUUUUAAUCAACAAUUGCAAGUACAACCUGAUUUGCCUUUUCACAUCUUUUAUGAAUAAUUAGUUACUAAGGCUUUACAACACUCUCGCAUUCUAACUAAUGUUCUCUUUUUAAGAAUAUAUAUAUCCUUUUAUAAGAGAACUAAAUAAUUUAUUAAAAUGAAAAUAUGAUGAAUAUAAUAUAUGCAGAAACUAUAAAACCUGGACGAGAUUGGAUAGAAUAGGAUAGGACGCAAACCAAACACAAGAACAUGGAAUCCGGUAUAUAUGUAUAUAUCUUUCAUUCAUCACAUCACUUGAUAUUGGAAGAAAUGUUACUUUCUUUCUUACCAGUUUUUUUGAAAUUUAUGCAAGCUAUUCUUGUGGCUAUUAAUUUUUUCAUUCUUUUUCCUGAAUCACCAACUCUUCAUUUGGGACUUUUAUUCUUCUUACUUCCUUUCCAUUAAUAUAUAAAUAUAUUAUAAUAAAAAAAAGUAUGGGGUACAUUUUUUUAUCCCAAAAAUAAUAUUAUUUUGUAAAUAUAUAUUAAAGUGAAUUAAUUACUGAAAAUAAAAAAUUUAAAAAUAGAUAAUUAAUAUCUGAAAAAUGAAAAUGUGACAUUCGAAAAAUAAAUUCUAUUAAAAUAAAAAUCAAUCAUAUAUUUUUUUAUAACCACUUAAUAUAUUUAAGAAAAGAAGAAUCAAAUCCUGAAAUAUAUUUUUCAUUUUUAUAAGUAACAAAAAUAUGAUAAAAAGACAUUCUAUUACAAAAAUUAGACCAUUAUUUUUUAUAAUUACUCAAUACAUUAAACAAAAAUAAACUUAUGAUUAUUUUUAAAAUAACUAUUAUAUUUUAACAUACAUUUACAAAUCAAUUGAAAAAAUUACUAUAAUAAGUCAAAGAAAUAUAAUGUUAAAAAAUAUAUUCAAAUAAGUGUUGCUUUUUUUAACAUCCUUAAUUUUUUUAAUCCAUAUAUAAUAAAAUAAAAGUAAAACAAACGCUAUCUACUUAACGUACGAAUAUAUAUAUAACUAUCUCAUAAUUGUAUCUAAAAUCAUAAAGAUUUUAUUAUAUAAAUAAAAAAAUUUAAAAAUAAACAGACGGCUCACUUAAGAGUUCUAUUACCUGCAAUCUCAUAUGCUUCCGUGUACAACACGAUCAUCACAUAUAAAGAAACAAACACAAACAAAUAACAGGAUAAGUUAGCUAUAACAAAAUUUUCUAUAUAAUUUAAAUUUCAAAUUGUUACACAAAAUUCAUAAAUUCUCAUACAAUUUAUCAAACAUUUCACAUAACCAUCAAUUGUCUAUCAACAAUUUCAAAAUUCAUCUUUCUCAUGUCAGUCAUCUACUGACUCACAACACAUAGACACUUAACUCUACUUCUGAAAGACUCGUGCGUUGACUUAGAUUCAGAGAUCUGCACCUGUCAUACUAUCUCACUGUGAAAUCCACACAGCUAUGCGCAUAAAUAAUCUCAAUAUCAUUUCUCUCCUAGUAUGACAGGCUUAAUUCAUAUAACAAGUCAAGUUAGUUAUCUUUCAAACAACUUACCCAUUCAUAUGAACCUCCUUCGACUCUCACCACCUGAAUAAACUCCAUCUAUAUGAUUCCAUUAUCUCAGAAGAGUCAUGAUAUCUCCUUCUAAACGAAUCACUAGUCAAUGCACAUCCUAAACAAUCUUAACACGGUAUUUUCUUUCCUGAAAAUACUAUGUCUUUAUUAAAAUUAAAAUUCAUAUUCUGACUCUCACAAUAUCUAAAUCACACAAUCAAAUCAUACAAAAGUUUAGAAUUUCCAAAUCACACAACAAUUCAUUCACUAAUCAUAUAAACAUUUUAAAAUUUUCUAAACAAUUCAAUUAUAUCUAAAAAUCCACUUAAACACAUAACUAAGUUCCAAAUAUAUGCUUUCUAAAUCAAUCAUCAUCUAAAAUCAAACAACCACUUCUCAUCAAACAUCUCAUUUAAGUAAUUCAACAAAAUAUUAAAAAACAGUUCAACUCAUUUAUAUUAUCAUUCAAACAUUUUAAAUUUUCAAACACAAACACUUUCAACAACUUAUUCACCUUAAAAUCAAUAUAAAAUAUUCAGAAUUAACCAUUUCAAUCAAUAUAUUACUUUACUCUUCAAAAGAGACAAUCCUGCAAGCAAAAAUUUGAACCGGUGACCACGUCACCCCCACAUUCAGAUCUUCUAACUUAGGGUUCUAUAAAAUAAAUAAAACUAGCUUCCCUUACCUGGACUUGAGCAGAUGCUCACUAAGAGCUCCAACCCACCAAAAGCUUAAGGAUAACCUAACCUGCACCAUAAAGUCUUGAUAAAAAAUCUAACUAUAUCACUAAGACCUUGAUCUAGCAGAGACUAAUCUUGAAGAUAAAAACCUCACAUGCAAACUUAAACUAAAAUGCAACCCUAACAAGAUAAAAACUAACUCAAAAGAAAAUGAGCCAAGAAUGAACUUACUCUAUCUAAGAUUCUGCGGGAAAUCUCGUAGAGUUCACUUCCAGGAGUUCAAUGGCAGACUCCGAUCAUUAAACUGAUGAGCGAGGAUGUCAGAAUCUUAGAGAGAUGGUGGUUCUUGUUGGAGAUCCCACAUCGACUAGAGAUUAGAGCCUUUCAUUGUAUAUAAGUGGGUGCAAACCUCAAUCUCAUGAGCCGGUUUUAUGGGGUUGAGUUAGGCUUAAAGUCCACUCUUUCGUAAUAUGAUAUCAGAGCCAUUUCGAGCCUAUCCUAGCGAGUGUUUGUGUUGGGCCUAUCGUGCCACCCGCUAUCGGGCCGCUAUCGGACCACCCAUAAUAUAUAGUCCCACGCGUGAGGGGGUGUGUUGGAGAUCCCACAUCGACUAGAGAUUAGAGCCUUUCAUUGAAUAUAAGUGGGUGCAAACCUCAACCCUAUGAGCUUCGUGCCACCCGCUAUCGGGCCGCUAUCGGACCACCCAUAAUAUAUAGUCCCACGCGUGAGGAGGGUGUGUUGGAGAUCCCACAUCGACUAGAGAUUAGAGCCUUUCAUUGUAUAUAAGUGGGUGCAAACCUCAAUCUCAUGAGUCGGUUUUAUGGGGUUGAGUUAGGCUUAAAGUCCACUCUUUCGUAAUAGUUCUUUUAAAAUAAAACCUAAAUAACUAAACUUCUAUUUAUAUAGUUUUUUCCUUUUAAUAAUAAAAUAUUCAGGUGUCAUUUUAAUUGUACAAUUUCUACUCUAAGACUAUUUUUCUCGGUCCUUACAUUUUUACUAAUAUUUUGAAUUAAAAUAUUAAUAUAACAUUGGUAAUUUGCAUCACGACAUUAUUUUUAAUAAAUAUGAGUAUUCAUAGCCAAAUUUAAAUGUUUAUUUUGAUUGAAUAAAAUUUGAAAAGUAUUAAAAUUUAGAAUAUAUCUAAAAAUCAUCUCAUUAUAAUCUAUCAUAUCAUGUUAAUAAAAUUAUCUCCAAACUUAAUUUAAUAUGUCUCAUAAGAGUAAUUUUUGUUUAACAUGUGGAGGAAGAGUUUAUUUUGGUGGUGGUGCUAACCUUAUUCACUAGUCUUGGAGGAAAUAAACUAAAAUAUUUAAUGGAAGGAAACUAUACAAAGAAUACAAAGUGACUCAUUUUGAUGUUUCUGUUUUUAAUUUCAUACAAUAUUGGACACACAUAGAUGUGUUAGAAUUUAUUUGAGAGGUCAAUUUAGAAGGUUAUCUACUGUUUAUAUCACAGUAUAUAAAUACAACAUAAAUCGCAUUUAUUCUUUGUUGUUUUUGUUUAUUGUAAAAAGACAUAUCUUGUAUUUUUAUAUUUUAUUCUAGUUUCUUUGGUAUUAUAAAAAAAUCAUUCAUAUAUAUAUAUAUAAAUUGUUUAAUAUCGUACAUAAUAUUUAAUAGAAUAAAUCUUUAAAUAUAAUAAAGUAGAGGAUGAAAUAUUCAUCAUGAUAUAUUAUUAGCCUGACAUGAAAAAAUAUUUGGAUAUAUAUAUUAAUAAAAAAAUCCAAACCAAACAAAAAAAUAAUAAUUUGAUUUUUUUUUUGUAACCAUACUUAACAUAACUUCUAUUUUUUAUUCAUAUAUAUUUUUAACGGAAAAAUCAAAUCAAACUACAGUCACAAAUGCUGGUGAUAUAUUUGAAAAAUAUAUAAUAUCACACCAUGUAUAUAAUUUUGUCAUGAUAAAAAACAAGGAUGUAUCUAAUUUUACCAUGAUAAAAAAACAAGAUAGUGUUUAGUUCAUCAUGGUUGUGACAAGGAAAGUGGUGAUUUUAGUCUAUCUAAAACCUUGAAGUAUUGUUAAAUCUAAAAUAAACAACUUCAAAUAUUAACUUUCAUCUUAAUUAAAAUAAAAUAAUUUAUACUAGGCAAAGUCUUAACAUAUUUCAUUAUAAGUGUUAUAAUUUAAUUUGACCUAUAAUUUAUCGUAUGAUUUAUUAUUCUUUUAUUUAUUUUAUCAACAAAGAUGAAGAAGGUCAAAAAAAGGUAAUAAUAUACCAUUAAAAAAAAAUAUUACAUGAAAAUAAAAGAAUAAAAAAACCUAUAAAUGGACUUUCCUCUAGUGUCCUAUAUGCUAUCAUCCAACACAAAACUAUCAAACACAAAACUAUCAACCAAAAAAUAGUUUACUAAUCCAAAAUCAAUUACAAAAAUUAUUCAUAUCUUAUACAAAUGUGAAAUUUGUGCUAUUAAGGAGAGUCGUAAUAGGAAGUAAAAAAAAAAAAGACUUUAUAUUUUUUCACAAGAACUUGUUAUUUUGCACUAGACCAAAACGCAAAAGGUAUAUUUUUAUAUAUAAGUUUUGUCAUUCAGUCCCUUCUUUAUAUUGAUUUCAUCUUAAUGAUUGCCAAAAUUCAAUUGGGUGGACACACAAUUAGAAUGAAGAACACGAAUUUAUGAUACUUGUCAUGAAUCUAAAUUUUUCCUUAUCUAUAUGAGUUUCAUUUUAAUGACUACAAACAUUUAAUUGGAGGAUAGACCAGUCAAAUAGGAGAACAAAGAUUUAUGAUACUUAUCAUAAAUUCAAGUUUUCCCAUAAGAGCUUGUUAUUUUGCAUAAGGCCAAGAAGCAAAAGGUCUACCACUAAAGUAUACUGACAAUUAGUAUAUAUAUAUAUAUAUUAUAUAUAUAUAUUUUAUAUAUAUAUAUAUAAUUACAUAGAAUAUCUGACAUUCAGUCUCUUCCUUGUGUUGGUUUCAUUUGUUUGUUAUUCUGGAUAAGGUCAAGAAGCAAAAAGUAUACUACUAGAGUAUACUGACAAUUAGUACCAUAAGACAAUCAAUAUAUAAUUACAUAGAAUGUUUCAUCUUAAUGAUUGCAAAAAUCCAAUUGGAUGGACACAUAGUUAGAAUGGAGAACAAGAAUUUAUGAUACUUAUCAUGAAUCCAAGUUUUUCCUCUUCUGUAUUGGUUUCAUUUUAAUGACUACAAACAUUCAAUUGGAAGAUAGACCAGUCAAAUAGGAGAACAAGUAUUUAUGAUACUUAUCAUGAAUCCAAGUUUUCCCAUAAGAGUUUGUUAUUUUGCAUAAGGUCAAGAAGCAAAAAGUCUACCACUAAAGUAUACUGACAAAUAGUAUAUAUAAUUACAUAGAAUGUCUGACAUUCAGUCCUUCCCUGCAUUGGUUUCAUUUUAAUAAUUGCAAACAUCCAAUUGGAUGGAUACACCAGUCAAAAUAGGAGAACAAGGAUUCAAGAUAUUUAUUAUGAAUCUAAAUUUUUCCAAAAGAGCUUGUUCCCAAAAGAGUUUGUUAUUCUGAAUAAGGCCAAUAAACAAAAAGUAUACUACUAGAGUACACUGACAAUUAGUACCAUAAAACAAUCCAUAUAUAACUACAUAGAAUGUCUCUCAUUCAGUCUUUUCUCUGUAUUGGUUCAUUUUAAUGAUUGCAAAUAUUCAAUUGGAUGGAUACAAAGUCAUAAGUGUAUCUUACUUUUAAGAAAAUAACAAAUUAAUGCAUUUAUUUAUUUAUUUAUUAUGUUUGUAAAAAAAAUGUAUAAAGGGAAGUGCAUCUGUAAUACCUUUGGACCAAAAUCUAAUUCAUUAAAGUAAAAAUUAAUAAAAAAGUAACACUAUAAAAAAAAAAGUAACAUAACAUCUAUUUUUUGUUAAAAUAUUUGCAUGAAUGUUUUUUAAUAAUAAUUUUUUUAGUAAAUAUGUGCUGUAAAUAUUUAAAUAAAUUUUUUGAUGCUAUCCAAGAAUUAAAUUUUUAUUUUUAUUUUAUUUCACCUUAAUUAAUUUUUUAUACUUAUUAGUAUGAUAAUGUAUCACAGUAAAAUUGUUACGUUUUUUUUUUAACUUUGAUUAUUUAAAAUUUUAAUUUAGAAAAUAUUAGUGAAUUAAUAUCUAAAUUAUGUAAACAUAAUAAUAAGUUGUGCUGGUUCCAAAAGAAAAGAGGAAUUAUUGUGUACUAUGAUUUGGGAGGAAACUGUCAAGUUCUUCAAUUGAUUAAUUUCUAGUUAUGGUUGACAAAUAUUUUAAAAUUCAAAAGUCAAAUUUGGCUUAAAAACUUAAAAUGAGGAAAAAAAAUCAGCUGUCAUUUUAUGAUAAUUAUUAUUAAUUACAAAAAAUGUAUUGUUAUUUUAUUUUAAAUAAAAUGAAUUUUUAAAAUUAUAACAUAGCAAUAAACAAUAAAAGAAGGAAUGAGCGAAAUAAAUUUAUUCGAAAGAGAAAAUAAAAUAUGAGAGGACAAUUUUUAUUUUUUAUUUUUUUCAAUUUUUUUUUUCAUUUCUAUUUGUCAUAUAUUUUUAUUUUUAUUUACUCUAUUCUUCACUAAUUAAAUUAAUUUUUUAUUACUUUAUUUCUUAAUUUAAAAUUUGAGUGUUUCUGUUAUUUUCAUAAUUUUAAUUUUUAAAUUUAAUCCAGUAGUUAUUUGAACAUAUGUGUUAUAUUUCUUUUAUUUAAAUUUGAAUGAAUCCAAAGUUUGACAAUAUAUAUUAAGAAAUAUUUUAAUAAUUAAAAUAAAAAUGUAAGAAACUAAUAUAUGCAAAUUUAAACAUUGGAUAACAAAACUAGAAUUCUUGAAAUUUGAUAACUAAAAUCAUAUAAAAGCAAGAGAUUUUAAAUUUAAGAAAAAAGAUUAUAAAUUGCUUUUAUUCUUUUUUUCAGUAGGGGACCAUUAACCUUUUUGACUUUGAGUAGUUUUCUACACCACUUUUUAGCCAUUGAUGUUGUCUUUCAUAGCUAGAUCAACGGUUCCAAGUUCAAGAGAGCCCAACUUGGAAGGACCAUGAAUUUCCUCUCUGAAGUUUGAUGUCAUAGGAAGGAUGAGAUUAAUGAUGUGGAUGGUAACAUGAAGAUGACAUCAUUAUGGAUGGGAUGUGAUGGAUUAUCGAUUACAUGAAAUGCUCUGAGAUUUAGGUAUGAAAGAACACUGUUGUGUUAGUGAGUAAUAAUGCUAUGAAUAUAAAAACAUAAACAAAAUAUUAGAAUGUGUUCCUAAGACUCUAUUUUAUGCAGUAAAUAUUUUUAUCAAGGGUUAAGGAAAAAUAUUAUGAUAAUAGUUCAUAAGAGUUUUUAUUUUAUUUUUAUAAAAGAUAUUAAUUUUAAUUUAUUCUAAAAUAUCAAUAAAACUAAAUUAUUUAAGUGGUUGAUAUAUUACUAAUAUAUUUUGCAAUAAUUUAAAUAAGUGUAUAAUAAGAAUUUAAUAAUGAAUACACCUGAAAGAAAUUUUAUGUCUUUUAUAAUAAAGUCAGAAGAUGCUCUCUCCUCGUUUACCAAUGGUUAAAUUAAUUUGUUGCAUUUGAUGGUAAAUUCAACUUAAACCUAGAUGAUGCAGUAUUGAAUUUAAAACUUAGUAAGAAAAAAUAUGUUUUUUUUUUGUUUUUUUUAUCGAAAUAGGAAAAAAUAUGUGUAACAGUUUAUGAUGAUCAAUAAUAACUAAUUGUGAAUAGGAAAAAUUCUAGAACUUUCACUUUAAGAAAAUAAUAUUAUUUUAAUUUAGGUUGAAGACAUUUUUAAGAAACUUUAAAAAAUGUUAAAAUACCAUAAAAAAACUACUUUUUGAACAUGCUUGCACGGAUUCAUUUAAAUUGUUUUUUAUAAUCAUAUAUAUAUAUAUAAAACUUUAAAUAUAUGUAUUGUUAUAAGUACAAUAUUAGUAACAAUAGAACCCUUUUAGAGAAAAUUGUGCAAAUUUUUUAAAUCAUAUAUAUUUUUAAAUAGUUAAAGUAUAUUUUACAUAAGGAAAGUGAAUUUAUUUUAAAAAAGAAUUUAUAUAUCAUAUUCAAUUGUUGAAUCAAUUUUUUAAAUUAUUAUUUUUUUGGAAAAAAAUUAAUUUUAGAAUAAAUGUUAAUAUAUUUUCAAUGUUACAAUCACAGUUUUUAUAAAUUUAUAUACAUCUGUAAAAUAUUUAAUACUUAAAUGAAAAUAAAAUAAUAAAAUAAAGUAUAUUUGAACUAAAAUAUCAAGAAAAAAUCAAUACUAUAUUAUUAUUAUUAUUAAAAUUGUAAUUUUAUUACAAUAUCAUUUAUUAACAUAUUUAUGAUUUUAAUAAAAAUAAAUUAAAAAUAAUGAAAAAUGAUAUAUACAUAUAUAAUUUAUUAUUUAAAUGUAUGUUUGAUCAUUAAUUUGGAAUUUUAGUAUCAAUAAAUGUAACACAUGAGUUUAAAAGAUAAUUUUUAAUUAAAUAAAAAAAUAAAAAAAUAAAAAAAAUAAAAAAACAAUAUAAGCAAUCACUUCUUAUUUCCUUAUAAUUUUAUCUCAAAUUUUGAUUAUAUGAGAUUCUUUAAGAUUAAAUCUAAGUGUUUGUUGUGUUAUCUGAUUACAUAUAUGAGGAGGAGAUAAGUCAGUUAUUUUCUAUUAAGAAUUUUAUCUUUUUUGUUUUUAGGUGUUUUGUGAGGGUUAAUUUUGUUGGUGUCAGAUUGGAUAAUAGAGACUUUCAUUAGUUUGAUAAGAUUUUUAGACAAAAUUAUCGUCUAUAAUGGUUCAAAGAUUAUGAUUUUGACUAAAAAAGAGUCUAUGAAAGAUCGUACAAGAAGAGGGAUUAACCUAGAGAAGGAUAUAGACGUUAGUUCUUAUAAUAAUCGUCGUUUAUAUCUUUAUAUAAGUAUAUUAAAAUAUUAUAUUAUGUAAAAAAUAGGCGUCGGUUACUAAAACAAUUGGCGUCUAUAGUGACUUAAUAUACUACGGUUUUAAAUCUAUAAGUCAAGACUAUAAAUGACUUGCUCAUAAAUUACAAUUUUAUAACCAGCGCAUCUAAGGUCCUAAAACACCACUGUCGAAGUGCAUUUUUAUACUAAUGCCUAGAAGUUAGAAAAUAUAUAUUUUCUUAAAAGUUAGAAAAUAUAUAUUUUCUUAGAGAAUGAGUUAAUAUUGACACCUAUUCAAUAAAAUGAUUAUUUAAAUGUAUGAUUAUUAUUGAAUUAAUAUGCAUGUGAAAUGUAUACCUUUAUCUUUAUACGAAAAUGUUGGAAUAAUGUAACUAUUAUGUGAAAGUAUUGGUUAGUAAGAUACUUUUAUUAAGGUAGUUAGUGAUUUAGAAAUUAUUCAUUCAUAGUAUUGGUAUAUGAUUUUUGUAAAUGGUUUAUUUUUUCUUUAAAAAUGUUAUUUUCAGGAUUGACAUUGCUCAAGCUGUGACAUAUACUCAAGCAAGGAUACCACUUGCAACACCUAAGGGGUGAGUUAUGAUAUUACAUGCCUCACUCAAGCAAAAGGAAAACAGUUAUUGAAAAGUAUUGAAAUAGGUGAGAGAAAGGUCAAAGUAAGUAUAUUGCAUUACGCAGAUGAUACUCUGUUUUGUUGUAAUGACAAUUUUCAGAGUUUAUUUAUCAUAAAGUCAAUUCUAUAUUGUUUUGAGCUGACUUCUAGUCUGAAAGUGAAUAAUUCUAAGAGUAGAAUUGGAGGGGAAGGUGUUAAUCUGAGUAGUUGAAAUAGUUUUUCUUCAAUCCUCAAUUGUGGUUUGAUGAAAAUUCCCUUUACUUAUUUGAGAAUGGUGGUGGGAGAAAAUUAUAAGAGAUGUAAUUCUUGGGAAUGUGUGUUAGGAAAGGUAUGAAAAAGAUUGGACAAGUGGAAAUGGAAUGACUUAUAUAUGGCUGGUGGGAUUUGUAUGAUAAAAUUUGUAUUAACCUCCUUACCUUUAUUUUAUUUGUUGAAUGUUUCUUGUUCCUGUGGCAGUGAUGAAAGAACUAAAAAAGGUUCAGUCAUUGUUUCUUUGAGGCUGAGGUUCGGAGGGGAGGAAAAUAGCUUGGGUGUCUUGGGAAAAAAAUGUACUGGCAGAGAAUUUGGUGGAAUAGAUAACAAGCAUUUUAACUAUGCUUUAUUAGGUAAAUGGAUUUAGAGGCUUAAGUCAGAGGAAAGAGGUUUAUAGAAAGAUAUUUUUGAGUCUAAAUACAGGGGUUGGAGAGAUCUAAAGGAGAAUAGAAUUAGAAAUAAGGAUUUGUGGUGGAGAGAUUUGAAAAAGAUUUGGAAUUUAGAAGAAUGGGAAAACGAUUUUGACGACAAUGGCACGUGGGAUUUGGGUAUGGGAAAAAAUGUAAGAUUUUGGAAAGAUAAGUGGUUGGAGAGAGUAGAGCUAAGGAAGGAAUUUCCAAGGUUGUAUGGUCUAUCAUUAAAUAAAGAUAAUACGUUGAAUCAAGUUAGGGAGUGGUCCGGUGUUAGUUGGAGUUGGAAGUUGGAAUGAAGAAGGAACUUGUUGUUUAGGAGUCAGAUUAAGUAGAUCAAUUGUUGUCUAUGUUAGUCAAUAAGGAAGUGGUCAAGGAAGCUACUGAUUGUGAAAAAGUUGAUAAUUGGAUUUGGAAGGAGGGGGAUUCUAGGAGGUAUACGGUUAAGUAUGCUUAUGUAAUUUUAAGGAGAGAAUUACAAGGUGAAGAUAGUUUAAUCUUUGAACAAUUUUGGAAGAUAAAGUCUAUCCCACUGCACAAAAACUGCUUGGAGAGUGUUACAAAAGGCUUUAGCAACAAAGGAUAAUUUGUCUAGACAUGGUGUUGUUUUAUUAAAUAAUUUGUGUUUUAUGUGGUGUGGAAGAAGAGUCUAUAAAUCAUUUGUUUUUUAAUUGUAAAAUUGAUUGACUUAUUUGGGGAAUGUGUUAUAAUUGGUAAGGGGUGUCGACAAUUAAUCAUUAUGAUGCGAAAUCACAUUUCAUGCAUAACAAAUUUCCUUUUUUGAAUGCUAAGAGCAAUAGAAUUUGAGGGAGUAUUUGGAUAGAAAUAAUUGGGGAGGUUUGGAAACAUAGGAAUGGUUGUAUUUUUAAAAAUGAUAGAGUUGAUCAUGAGGAAGUUUUCACUUUUGCACAAAUGAAGGUUUGGUCGUGGUUACUGAAAAAGGAACAUGUAAUCGUUUUUUCUUAUUCAGAUUGGUGAUUGGAACCUUUGGAAUGUAUGAGAUACAUUAGCAAAGGUAAUUGAGUUGUUUUUUCUGUCGUGCCUUAUGUAAUAGUAUUAUUUGGCUUAUUUGUUGGUGUUUUACAGUAGAAUGCACACUUGAACUCUAGAAGAAAUCAAUUUAUUUAAAAUACUUUGAAACUUAAAUACUAAUAUCCAUGAUCCUUAAUCAUAACUGAAAAAAUGAUUGGAUUCUAAAAAUAAGCAAAGAAAUCAGAUACAUGAUCAAGGAAAGGAAAUAACUAACUCCUAAAAUCAAGGAGUACUACUUUGAAUAAGUUAAACAUUAACAAAAUAGAAAAAAAAAGUGACAACAUUCUUAAACACGUGACUUAACACUCUUGCUUGUUUAAAUGCUGCAAACUCCAAGUUUCUUCCUAUGCUUCAAUAACUUAACUCCAAAGUUCUAAGUACCCUUGAUGUAUUUGAUGACUUUUUUUGCGGCCCUCAUGUGAGUCUCAUAUGGGAAAUGCAUGAAUUUGGAUAAAACACUUACUGCAUUUAGAAUGCCAAGUUUGGUUGUUGUUAAAUACAUUAGACAUCCUAUCAAGCUUUUGAAUUUAGCUUCAUCGACUUUGGCAGAUCCAUCUUCUUUGACCAACUUCUCCUUUUGAUUCAUGGGAGUGCCCAUUGCCUUGCAAUCUUACAUUUGAAACUUUUUAAGUAUUUUUUUGCAUACUUCUUCUGACAGAUAAAUACUUUAUCCUGACUUUGCUUAAUUUCCAUUCCAAGAAAGUAAGUCAUUAGGCUAAGGUCUGUCAUUUCAAAGACCUUCUUCAUGUUUAACUUGAACUGAUCGACCUGAUCAAGAUUAUUUCCAGUGACUAACAAAUCAUAUACAUAAAGAGAGAUGAUUAGAAUAUUUGCACCAUCAUGCUUGACAUAUAGAGUAAGUUCAAAUAAACUUUUCUCAAACCUAAACUAAUAAAGUGAUAAUCUAUUCUACUGUAUCAAGCCCUUGGAACUUGUUUUAGGUCAUAUAGUGCCUUCUUCAGUAAGUACACAUUGUCUUCAUUUUCUUUGUCCGCAAAUUCUUUAGGUUGCUCAACACAAUUUUCUUCUUUAAAAAUCCAUUUAGGAAUACUAAUUUGACAUCCAACUGAAACACUUUCCAAUUAUUUUGAGCAGCGAGAGCAAAAAGCAAUUUGAUUCUGUCAAGCCUAGCAACAGGUGCAAAUGUGUUUGAAUAAUCAACUCCAAACACUUAAACUACUAGCCUUGCUUUAAGCUUGUUGACUGAGCCAUUGGGAUUUAACUUAGUCUUAAAUACCCACUGGUGAACAUAUAUUUAUUCACAUUCAAUAACUUUAAUAAUAAAUAAAUCCAUUUUUUAAUUAAUAUUCAUAUAAUUGGGUUUAUUUGGGCCUUAACUAUUAUUUUUGUUAAUUUUGUGUUUUUAAAGUAAAUGAUCUGAAAGAAGUGUCUACCUUUGUGAAUGGGUCAAAUAUGCAAAAAUCCAAGUUUCUUCUUGAAUCAAAAUAGAAAACAAAUUCUCUAGAGAAGAAAGAGAAAAUAAAAUCUACAAUAUCCCAGAAACAGAAUUGGAAGCAAAUCUUCUGCAAAAUACAAAAAUUCUAGAAAGUUGGAAACUUAGAAACUAUUAAGAAAAUUUAAACUACAAUAUUUUUCCAAAAUUCUUGGAGCAGAAAAACCUAUAAAAGGACACAAGCAUCAAGGAGAAAGGGGGGAGCUUCAUAGGGUUUUCUUAGUUUCUUUUCUUUUGUUUUGUUUCCGCAUGGAAGGCUAAACCUUUUUGGUUGUUUCCUUUGCAAUUUCCCAUUUAGUUAUGAGGUUUUGAUCAAUAAAAGUUUCGAUUUUUAAUUCUUUAUAGUAGUUGUUUUAAUAUUCUAAUCUUCUGGAAAACUGGUUUUUGUGAGAUGUUGUACUUGAAUACAUAAUUGAAAGUCUUCCUUAUCUUAAACUUUGGUUUCUUAGUUAGUUGACAUUGUUCUAAUUAUUUUUUUGGGCGUAUAAUUCAAGAGAGAGGAGAUAAGCAUUCCCAUGGAGUAUACGCAUGGAACAAAGUGGGUAUUGAUUAAACCAGUAAACACAUGCUUUAUUGGUGAGUGUUAGUUGAAUCAGAUUGACGCAUGUUCAAUCUGGUUUAGCUCUGUAGGAGGAUUGAGAAAUGAUUAAUCUUUAGAGAACAUGUGAAGAAUUCAAUGGUGGAAGAACUUGUGGAUCAACCGCUUUUUAAUUGCUAUUUUAAUCUCUUUUAUAUUUUAUGCAUAACUAUCUCAACCCCCUUUUAUUUUUAUUAUUGCUAACUUUUAUUGCUUGUAAGAUUCUAAACAUUGAUUUACCAAACUUGAGGUUAUCUAACCGCUUCUAUACUAUCAUCUCUCUAGUGUUAGACAAAUCUACAUUAAGAUCAUCUUAAUUUGAAAACAAAACAACAACUAUCACCCACUCCACUCCUAUUAUUUUUCUGUCAUGUGGUUUUUCAACCAGCUCCCAAGUUUUUUCUUUCUCAAUUAUUGACAACUCCUCUUCAUUGUAGACAUCAAAUGUUUAUUAUGUUUUGCAUCAUGAUAUCCAGCAAGUUCACAAACAACCACAUUGCAUCUUUGAUAUAUAUAUCAGAGAGUAAUCUUGUACCUCUAAGUUAGUUCAUUCUACCAUUCUUCAUUUACAUGUUCCUUUAGAGUGUUAACAAUGGAUAAAUGCCUUGAUUUACUUGGAAUCUAAUUUGCCCUAUUUGAGUCUUUCCAACUCUAUUGUUCAUCUUCCACAAAAUAAACAUCUCUGCUCACAAUAAUACGUGCAAUUUCUGGUUGAAACACCCUGUAAGCCUUGGAACCAAUACUAUAUCCAAUAAAAAUGUAGUUGUUGCCUUCUUGUCAAGCUUGUCACAUUUGAUCCGUGGAAUAAAAGUGAAACACAGGAAACCAAACACUUUCAAAAAUUUUAGAGAUGGUCUGUAUCCAUACCAAACUUCAAAUGGUGUCUGAUCUUUCAUUGCCUUUAUUGGAAUUCGAUUUUGUAAAAGCGCAACAGUGUUUGCUGCUUCCACCCAAAAUUUCUUUGGGAGAUUCUUUGUCUUCUUUGUUGUUACUACCAAAUAGAUUCAUACAUAAUAAAUUUGUUGUUACACUACAUUUAGAGUUUGAUAAAAAUAUCAAUGAUUCUUUACCUUCUUUGUUCCUUUUCCAUGUGAUGUCUUCCACUAGUUUGACUUUCACCAAACAUUUAGUACUAUAGCAAACCACUCUGACAUCCCCAACAUCAUCAUGAUUAUCCUUUACAACUACUUCUUAACACACCAUAACACACCCAAAUUACCCUUUUACACCUGUUGUGAUGCAACAUUUUAUUAUAAAUGCAUAAUAUUAGACACUAGCAUCAUUGGGUGUAAAAUAAACAGUUCAAAUUGCCAACUCUCUUAUACUGAUAAGUGUUUAAUUUCAGUAAUAUUUCAUAUUAAAAUAUAAGCACCUAUGAAUAUUUAUUGCUAAUUUACAUGUAAAAUAAUCCCUAAUUUAUGAAUUUAUACCUGUUGAAGAUGGUUUAAACCUAACAAUACCUUCUUACAUUUUUAUGAGCUUUAUUUGAAUAAGAGCAUUGUAUUCCCAAAUUUGGUAUUAAUUGCGGAUUUUUAGGGAGAAUUGGAGAUUUUGAGUAAAGGAGAAUAUUUUGAGCUAAAAGAGAAAGCUGGAAGGUCCCAUAAUGGAAAAAGAUGCAGAAAAAGAUUGAGACUUUUUUUAUGUUUUAUCACUUAGCCCAUUAGCGCGACACAGGAAGCGACAUAACCUUAGAAAACUAGGAUAAAUAGAGGGCUAGAAGCUCAAUCCUAGUAUGCCAGAUUGAGAGAAAAACACAAGAGAGUCUCAUUUUGGGACAGAGUGUUAGAAAAAGUUAAGAGCAUAUUAGGUAGAUGGAAAGGUAGAUUUCUUUCAUUGGUCGAGAGGGUUUGUCUAAUUAAGUCGGUUCUUUCUUCUAUUCCGUUGUUCUAUAUAUCUAUGUAUAAGUUGCCUUCUACUGUGCUAAAACUGGCAAUCUUGGUAUUUUGAACUUAAGGCUUUUCAAUGCGGUUCUGCUGGGAAAGUGAAUUUGGCGUCUGGGUACCGAGAAUGGUGGUUUAUGGAAGGAAAUUCUCGAGUCUAAAUACAGAGGUUGGAGAAUUGGAAGAGCAAAGGAUCAAUACUAAGGAUUCUAGCUGGUGGAGAGAUUUGAAGGGGGUUUGGGGGAUGGAGGAAUGAGGUAGAAACUUUGAGAACUGUUUUGAGUAGAGAGUGGGAAAAAGGAAAAAUGUUUGGGUGGGCAACGAAGAUUUGAAAAGCAAUUUUCCAAGACUUUUUUCUUUGUGUGGUAAUAAAGAAGGUAAUUUAGAGUCUUGUGGGGAGUGGUUUAAUGAUAGUUGGGAGUGGAAGUUAGUCUGAAGGAAAUGUCUAUUUGAUUGGGAGAAAAAUCAGAAAGUCCAGCUGUUACAAAAGGUGCAUGGAAAGGCUCUUGUCUUGAAUUAUGAAGAUAGUUGGGUUUGGAAGGUUGGUAAGGAUAGUGGAUUUUCGGUAAAGUUUGCCUAUGUUAAUUUAAGAGGCCCUUACGAGGGAUAUAGUCUGUUUGUUUCUCUAUGGAAGACUUUUGCUUUGCCCUCAACCCAGUUUACUUCUUGAAGGGUGUUGCUUAAUUUGGUUGCCACUAAAGAUAAAUUGGAAAGACGCGGGGUCUCGGUUGUUAGCAACCUUUGUUGUUUUUGCAUGAUCAAAGUGGAGUCAACAAGUCAUUUGUUUUUUGAAUGCAGGAUUGCUUGGCUAGUUUGGAAACAAUGUUAUGCAAGGCUGGGGAUAACGUUGGUAGAUCAUUUUGAUCUUGUUUCACACUUCUUGCAUUUUAAUUUGUUAAAUGCUCCUGUCUAGGUAAAUGUUGUUUGGGGUAGUAUUUGGAUUGCAAUUGUUAGUGAAAUCUGGAAGCAUAAGAAUAAACAUAUUUUCAAAGGUGGAGUGAUUGAUCAUUCAGAAAUGUUCACCUUUACUCAAUUAAAGGUUUGGUCUUGGGUAACAUCUAAAUCUGUUUCUGCUCACUUUAUAUUUUUCGAGUGGUGCUUCGAUCCUAUGGCUUGUAUGUUUUUGAUUAAGUGAGCUUUUGCAAGGUUUCUUCCUUUGGCUAGGUUGUUUGUUGUUUUUAGUUUUGUAAGGAUUAGGUUGUUUGGAAGAGGUUAUGUGGAUAUUGUUGUGUUAUAUUCAUGUAUAAGGGUUGAGUCACCCCUAAAGUGAUUUAUAUUUAUUCAUUUUUUACUUAUUGAUAAAAAAAAUCAAUAAAAAUUAAUUAAUAAUACUUUUAGAAAUGUAAAGAUCUUAUAGAUAUAUUAAUGAAACAAUUUAAAUAAUAACACAACUUAUUGUAUCUGAUGGAACAUUUGAAUUGCUAAAUGAUAAACCUCCUAGUAAAGUAGUCAUUUGACAUUUCAUUUCCCUUUCAAUCUAUUGCUUCAUUUGAUAAUGUAGAGUUUUCAUAUUGUUGAUAUUCGAUUAAUUAACAUUGAGAUUACAAUUCACUUUGAAGUUGAAUGUUAGCCUUUUCUUGUUUUUGGAUAAUGUUAGUCAAAUCUUUCUAUUCUAACUCUACAUCAUUUGUUCUUUUGUGCAUUCUCCACUUGACUUUGAACAAAUUGUCUCUUUAUAUUUUUUUUCUGUCAUGGAUGCACUUCCUAUAUACUUUGUGAGUGAUUUGAUUUUGUUCCUUGUAUAAAUGAAAAAUGUUUAACUAAAGGCGCAUGUACUUUUUAAAUUUAUUCUCCAUACACUUCACCCACAUGUUAACAAAAAAUAAUUAAUAUUUAGAAUAUUUCAAAAUAUUAAAUUAAAUAUGAUCCUCCAUAGAGCUUUCCCAAUUGAACCUAGGCCUUCUCCACCUUAAUAACCUCCAGUUCCACCCUACAUCCUCCCAAGUACCCACUUCAGCCACCAUCUUUCCUUGGUCCAACAAAAUAGAAAACAACCUGGGAAACAGAGUUAUAAGCUUAUUAUUCUCCAACCAUACGUCUUCCCGAAAUCUGACUUUGUCACUAGCUCCAACUUUCCAUUCAAUCGAUUUCUGGAACCAUUCGUCGCCUUCUCCCUCAUCACAAGCCCUAGACAGAUCUCUCCACCACCAAGAAUAAUAAUUACUCGAAUCUUGAGUUCUUACUCCCCCCGUGUAAUACUUGGAUGCUAGAAUCUCUUUCCAUUUCCCCUUUUCCUCACUCAAUAGUCUCCAGUUCCAUUUUGCUAGCNNNNNNNNNNNNNNNNNNNNNNNNNNNNNNNNNNNNNNNNNNNNNNNNNNNNNNNNNNNNNNNNNNNNNNNNNNNNNNNNNNNNNNNNNNNNNNNNNNNNNNNNNNNNNNNNNNNNNNNNNNNNNNNNNNNNNNNNNNNNNNNNNNNNNNNNNNNNNNNNNNNNNNNNNNNNNNNNNNNNNNNNNNNNNNNNNNNNNNNNNNNNNNNNNNNNNNNNNNNNNNNNNNNNNNNNNNNNNNNNNNNNNNNNNNNNNNNNNNNNNNNNNNNNNNNNNNNNNNNNNNNNNNNNNNNNNNNNNNNNNNNNNNNNNNNNNNNNNNNNNNNNNNNNNNNNNNNNNNNNNNNNNNNNNNNNNNNNNNNNNNNNNNNNNNNNNNNNNNNNNNNNNNNNNNNNNNNNNNNNNNNNNNNNNNNNNNNNNNNNNNNNNNNNNNNNNNNNNNNNNNNNNNNNNNNNNNNNNNNNNNNNNNNNNNNNNNNNNNNNNNNNNNNNNNNNNNNNNNNNNNNNNNNNNNNNNNNNNNNNNNNNNNNNNNNNNNNNNNNNNNNNNNNNNNNNNNNAACAAAGAUUUUCAUCCUAACUUUCCAGAAUUGGUUAUUCAAACCAUAGAAAAUAGGUGGUCUGUUGAUUGAUGCACCCUCUCCAUAGAACGAAAGUUGGGGGCUCGAAGACGAUCAGAUACCGUCCUAGUCUCAACCAUAAACGAUGCCGACCAGGGAUCAGCGGAUGUUGCUUUUAGGACUCCGCUGGCACCUUAUGAGAAAUCAAAGUCUUUGGGUUCCGGGGGGAGUAUGGUCGCAAGGCUGAAACUUAAAGGAAUUGACGGAAGGGGCACCACCAGGAGUGGAGCCUGCGGCUUAAUUUGACUCAACACGGGGAAACUUACCAGGUCCAGACAUAGUAAGGAUUGACAGACUGAGAGCUCUUUCUUGAUUCUAUGGGUGGUGGAGAGAAUGAUUAGUAUCUUCUUCUCUAUUAAAUAAAAAAUUAAAUAUAUUUAACUGGAGAGUGGAGAUUUCUUACCUUACUUUUUUUGAUUUAAACUGAUAUUCUCUUUUAUUAAAAUUGUAGAAUUUUAAAAUUGAUUUAAGAAACGGAUUUUAUGAUUCUCCACUACACAUAACCCAUGUAUCCUACUUCCCACUUUCUCUCUCAUGUAUAGGUACCUACUCCCCACUUUCUCUCUCCAACACAUUCUUUUUUUUACCAUACUUUUCAUGUAAAUAAAUAAAUUCAUUCAUUCUCUUACCGCUCUCACUAUUUUAUUAACUUACUCUUUAACAGUAUACUCUUUAACUUCUCAUUUUGAUGUUAUUAAGAGAAAUUGUUUUUGAAGAAUAAAAAGAUACUAAAAAAAGAGAAAUAAAAAAUGCGAAUACACACUACUCUUUAAUUGUAUACUCUUUAACUUCUCAUUUUAAUUUUAUUAAGAGAAAUUGUUUUUGAAAAAUAAAAAAAUACUAAAGAAACAAAAAUAAAAAAUGCGGAUACACAGUGCCUGUGUUCCCACUGGUCUAUACCUAUAUAUAAAGGGAUUCCCCACUUUAACUGCUCUAAAUUGUUUUCCUACUUUAUCCUUGCUUAAUAUUUUGUUUUAUCAAUUUAUUUUGGUUAUUUGGACAUUUUGGAUUCUCCACUUUAACUGCUCUAAAUUGUUUUCCUAUUUUAUCCUUAUUUAAUAUUUUGUUUUAUCAAUUUAUUUUGGUUAUUUGGACAUUUUAUAAUUUUAGAAGUUAAUAAAACAGUUUUUUAAUUUUAUUUUAUUUUAUUUUUUCUCACUACUUAACUCACAGGAGAGUGGAGAAAUGUGUUACUUUUUUGUUUUAAACUAAUAUUCUUCUUUAUUAAAUAAACGUUUUUUAAUUUUAAAAUUUUAUUUUAUUUGUUCUCAUGGGCAGGUGAGUGGAGAAAUUUGUUACUUUUCUGUUUCAAAACUAAUAUUCUUCUUUAUUAAAUAAGCGUUUUUUAAUUUUUUAAUUUUAUUUUAUUUGUUCUCACUAAUGGGCAAGAGAGUGGAGAGAUUGAUACGUUUUAUUAGAGAAGAGUGGAGAGAGAGGGGUGAAAUAUGGGUUUAUGCACGGUUACUUUUUUUAGGCAAAAAAAAUUAUAUAUAAGAAAACUAUGAGAGAGGAAAAAUAUAGAAACAUCUUAAAAACUAUUGUCUGAUGCUAUUUGAUAUUCUUUCUACAAAGUCCCAAGUGCGCGCAAAUUCAAUUUUGGUAUUCUUUCAACAAAUUCAAUUUUUGUGUGUUUUCUUUCAUAUUUCUCAAGCACAAGAGGAAGAAGGGAGAUAGAGAAGAAAUCGAGAAGUUCCAAGUUGUGAUGCUCAGCGUGAGCAAACACUUUUAUUGUUGACCCUUCCAACAUCUAAAUGCAAGCACACACAGUCUUCCUUGGUUGCCACUAUGCCUCCCGCCUCCUCAAAAUUCUAAUUUUGAGAUUCUGAAACAGUGUAUUACUGUUCCUCUUCACAUUUCAUCACAGCCACUUCACUAUGUAUUCUGUCUCCUCAAUGCUUCAAAAACUCUAAUUUUUAGAUUCUGAAAUGUGUAUUGCUAAUUUUCUUCAUAUUUCAUCUCUUUUAUUUAUCUUAUUUUGCUUUUCCUAUUUCUUUAAUGUAUACAUUUUAUUUUAUUUUUUCCAAUAGAGAAGUUUAGUUUAUUUUAUAAAUUAAUAACUUCAAUUUCUUUACUCAUUAAGAAUCAUGUAAGGAUCUAGAAAAUAACCAGAAGUGGUAUAUUUUAAAUGAUACCUGAAUAUUUUAUUAUUAAAAUGAAAAUGACAUAUAAAUAGAAAAUUCAGUUAUUCAGGUUUCAUUUUAAAAUAACCACCAUCUCUCUAAANNNNNNNNNNNNNNNNNNNNNNNNNNNNNNNNNNNNNNNNNNNNNNNNNNNNNNNNNNNNNNNNNNNNNNNNNNNNNNNNNNNNNNNNNNNNNNNNNNNNNNNNNNNNNNNNNNNNNNNNNNNNNNNNNNNNNNNNNNNNNNNNNNNNNNNNNNNNNNNNNNNNNNNNNNNNNNNNNNNNNNNNNNNNNNNNNNNNNNNNNNNNNNNNNNNNNNNNNNNNNNNNNNNNNNNNNNNNNNNNNNNNNNNNNNNNNNNNNNNNNNNNNNNNNNNNNNNNNNNNNNNNNNNNNNNNNNNNNNNNNNNNNNNNNNNNNNNNNNNNNNNNNNNNNNNNNNNNNNNNNNNNNNNNNNNNNNNNNNNNNNNNNNNNNNNNNNNNNNNNNNNNNNNNNNNNNNNNNNNNNNNNNNNNNNNNNNNNNNNNNNNNNNNNNNNNNNNNNNNNNNNNNNNNNNNNNNNNNNNNNNNNNNNNNNNNNNNNNNNNNNNNNNNNNNNNNNNNNNNNNNNNNNNNNNNNNNNNNNNNNNNNNNNNNNNNNNNNNNNNNNNNNNNNNNNNNNNNNNNNNNNNNNNNNNNNNNNNNNNNNNNNNNNNNNNNNNNNNNNNNNNNNNNNNNNNNNNNNNNNNNNNNNNNNNNNNNNNNNNNNNNNNNNNNNNNNNNNNNNNNNNNNNNNNNNNNNNNNNNNNNNNNNNNNNNNNNNNNNNNNNNNNNNNNNNNNNNNNNNNNNNNNNNNNNNNNNNNNNNNNNNNNNNNNNNNNNNNNNNNNNNNNNNNNNNNNNNNNNGAUGAGAAGUGGUUGUGUGAUUUCAGAUGAUGAUUGAUUUAAAGAGCAUAUAUUUGGAAUUAAUUAUGUGUUUUAAGUAAAGUUUGAGAUAUAUUUGGAUUGUUUAGAAAGUUUAUAUAUAUAUGAAGUGAUUGAGUGGUGCAUUGAUAUGUUAAAUGAUGUAUGUAAUGAGGUUAAAGUGUGAUCAAGACGUAGUAUGUUCAGGAAAGGAAAUACCAUGUUGAGAUUGUUAUUAGGGUGUAUUGAUUUGUGAGUGUCCUGUGAAUGAGACGAUCCUGACUCUACUGAUAUAAUGGAAUCAAAUAGAUGAAGUUAUUCAGUUGGUGAGAGUCGAAGGAGGUCCAUUUGGCUGAUUCUGAGGUUUGAAAGGACUGAUCAGAGCAUAUACAAAUUGGGAUUUACCCUGUCAUAUGAAGAUGAUGAGAUAUUGAGAUAAUUAUGUGCACGGCUGUGUGGGUUUCACAGCAGUAGUAUGACAGGUGCAGGUCUCUGGAUGCUAAUUUCAAUACACGAGUCUUCCGGAAGUAGAGUCAAGUGUCUAUGUGUUGUGAGUCAGUAAAAGUCUGACAUAUGAAAGAUGAAUUUUAUGAAUGUAAUAGACUAUGGUUUGAGAAAUCAUAUGAGAAUUGAUGAAUUAUGCUUAUUAAUUUGAAAUUUAAAUUAUAUCAAAACUUUUUAUAUAGAUAGCUUACCCUGUUAUUUGUUUGUGUUUGUUUCUUUAUCUGUGAUGAUCGUGUUUUACAUGGGAGCAGAGAUUUCAGGUGAUAGAGCUCCUUAGCUGGAGAAUGAGAUAAUUUUAUUUAAAUGUUUUGUUUUGUUGUUAAAACUUUUGAUGUAUAUAUAUUAAAUCCCUAUGAAGAGGGAUAUUUCUUUUGAGAUACACAUAUGAGAAAGUAGUAUAUAUUAUUUGUAAUUAGAUAUUGCUUGUUUUACUUUUAUUACAUUAUAUAUGGGUAAAAUUAAGGAUGUUACAAAUCACAUUAUUAAAAUAAUAUUACAUUUGAUUUAUUGUGAUAAAAAAAUAUAAUUAUUUAAUUAUUUUAAACAUAUUUAAUUAAAAAUAUAUAUAUAUUUAUAUCUUCUUCUUCUAUUUAUUUAUAUAUAAAGGGGAUUCUCCUUUUUAACCGCUCUUAAUUUUUUCCCUAUUUUAUUCUUAUAUAAAUAUUUGAUUAUAUUAUGGACAUUGUCAUUUCUUAUUUUCUCUAAAAUAUGUAAUAUAUGUGGAGGAACAAUUUUAAAUUGAAAUAGAGGUUCGAGACGGUUUUGAAUUGAAAAAGUUGUUACUUUUCAAACAGUUGCAUAGAAAGAAGAAUGUCUCUUCAAAUUUGAGAGAAAGAAAAAUAUUAGUGGAAAUACUGGAGAAGAUGAACGGUUUUGAAUUGCAAAAGUGGUUAAUGUGUGUGACAUUCUUUGGAAAUAAAAUUUGUAAAGAAUAAAACACUUAGAAUGAUGAUCAAUUACUCGCAUUGGUUAAACCAAUUCACAAAGUAUAAUAAUUUUACAUAAUAAUGAUAAUGUUAUUUUUUAUUUAUAAUAUACUAUAAAUUUAUAUUGUUAAGAUAAAUGUGCAAAUAAUAAUAUUAUUUAUUCAAAUUUUAAUAUUAAACAUAAAUAUAUAUAUAUAUAUAUAUAUAUAUAUAUAAAAAUGAAAAAAUAAGAAAUGCGGAUACACUGGCGCGUGAGCGCCUGUGUUCCCGCUAGUAUAUAUAAAUUAAAUUAGGUAAAUAAAUCAAUAUCAAUUUUAAUAAUGAUUUAUUUAAUUUAAAAAAAACAUGGUAUACAAAUACAUAUACUUGUUUUAAGUUGCUUAACAUUAGAAUUUAAUUUUAAUGGUCUUGUUAUCUAUAAAAUAUAAAAGUAAAUAAUCACAUUUUGAAAGAAACACAAAUGAAACACUAGUUAUAUUAUCAACAUGCAUUAGAUUAUAUUGUUUAAUUAAACUAAAUAUAAACAUUUAUAUAUUUUAAGAGUCUCAUUAUAUAACUUUUUUACUAUUUUUUUCAUCUUAUUCACUUAAAUAUUAAAACUCUUCUAAUUCUUUGGGCCUAUACCUUCAUCAUGCUCUUCAUAUCUUUUUUUUCUCUUCUAGGUAUUUUGUGUGAGAACUUUCAAAGCAUAAGAUAUAUGUGAUAAUUCCAAAACCUCUAAUCUUAUUUUGUUUUCUGCACUUCUACAUAGCCUUUGUUUUUCACGGUUAGACAUGCUUUUCAUCCACACAAACAAGGAGAUAUUUUCUAUCAAUUUUUUCACCUACAUUUAGGAUAAAAAAUAAUAAUUAAAUAACCAAAAAGUAAUUACUAGUUCUCAAGUUUUCAAAAGAACUACAACAACUAAAAUGAAAAACAAAAGAACUACACCAACUAAAAUGAAAAAGAAAUAGUAUUAUAGCUUGAUUUCAUUCAUUUCAUAAUGGAAAUCUUAGAACUGUCUGUAUUAAAGGAUAUAGAUACCGGAGUUAUAGAAGGAUCCUUCUAUUAAUUUCGGUAUCCAUAUAACAUAUUAUGAGUGGUCCGAUAAUGGUCCAAUUGCAGGUGACUUGAUAAAUCUAACAAACACUCGUUAUGAUAGGUUCAAAAUGACUCUGAUACCAUAUCCUUUAAUAGUCUGACUAGUUAGGAUAAUAUACUUCACUAAUUAAAUGUUAUAAAAGGAUUUAUUUUGAUAAUAAACUUCCCUUCAAAGUGUAGGUUUUAAAUAUCUCUUGUUAAGGAAAGUUAAUGGUCUCAAAUUGCAUAUAUUGAUUGUAUAAAACUAUGAAUGUUAGGAACAUUAGCUCCAGAUCUCCUUAUUUGGUAUGUUUUAUAUUAUGUCAUGUUGGUGGAAUAGUUGGUACAACUUUUUUAGCAGUGUAAUAAAAUGUACCUAUCUGACACCACACAUCUAGGCGGGUUGUAACAGUUAAGAUAUUAGAUAACAUAGGGCCCAAAGGGCCCAAAAUCCAGAGUGAAUAAAGACGUAGAAUGAAAUCUACUAAGAUUUAUUUUUUUCUGAUAAAAAAGAAGAAAUCUACUAAGAAAACAUUCGAUGUUGUUCUUAAAUUUUUAUAGCACACAUCAUAUGAUAUUAUUCUUCUUAUACGCUAAUAUCAUCAUGGGAAACUGACAAGCUUAUAGCCACAACAGGGUCUAAAAGUUGUGAAUAAGUUCUGGUUGAAAGAAUGUAGGGAAACAUUAGUACAUAUGUUUUGGAUAUCUGAUAUCCUUAAAAUAAUCUGAUGUAGGGGUAAGUUAUUUUCAUUUUUUUUAUCAGAAAUAAAAAAUUAAUAAAUAAUAGUAUUUAAAAGAUAUUCUAACAAUUAUACAAAAAGUUAUAUGAAGUAGUCCAACAAAAAUUUCUCUUACAUAUAAUCUUAAAAUGAAUUCAGCAAAAAAAUUUCUUACAUAUAAUUAAUCUUAAAAUGAAUCCAGCAAAAUCUAUAGUAGAAAUCUAAAAAUAUAAUUAAAUAUAGAAUAAGUGUUAAGCUCAAGUAUUAGUCAAGGUUAUAAAAAACAGAAAGAUGUCUAAGCCAAAAGAUCUUUUAAACCAUCUAUCAUAUUGCUGCCUAAAAUCUUUAUAAAAAAAAAAAUACUACCUGAUCUGGAGCAACUGCUGCAUCUGUACCAUGCUCAUGUGAAAAUAGGAGUUCAGAAUGACAGGAUAAACAUGGAUGAGUUCAUAGAACAAGAAUUUGUUCCGAUGAUACCACAAUAGAGAGGUUCAACAGAUUCACUCUGGAAAGGUUCCACAUUAAUUUUGUGAGUAGUUUGUAUUGUUAUACCACUUAUUAAUGUUAAUAUUUAGAUCUCUUACGAUUAAGUAACUAAUGAAUUUCAAGCAAUGGCAUUAAUGUAAUUAAAUUAUAAAUAAUUUCUCAAUUAUUUCUUACCAAUAAUUUUUACUUUGUUAUAAUUUUAAAAAUCAUUUAAAUAAAAAUUACAAAUGAUUAAUAAAUAUGACGAACUUGGUAUCACUAUUUUUUUUUAAAGAAUUAAUUUAUCGAGGUUAUCUAAUUUUGUUAUUUUUUUUAUUUGGACUGAGACAUCCUUAAAUGUCUAUAGUAAUUUAUCUAUUUAUUGUGGAUAAAAAAUGACAAACUAGUUAUUAUGUUAUUUAUUCCUACUCAUUAAUAAUCAUAUAACUAAAAUAUCCAUUAUUAGUAUUUACUGAUAAAAUCAGUUUCUUAUGGUUUUGCAUUAAGUCAAGUUAAACACAAAUUUGUAAUCCACAAUCAAGCUAAAACUACUUUUAAUGACCACCAUUUUUUUACAUCUGGAACAUGAAUAUUUCAAAAGAUCAAACUAAACACAAUCAGAUAUCUUAAACACACCCAAGACAUGGUUUAUUUUUUUCUGUACUCGAAGUGAUAUUCUAUUUCCAAUCAUCGAGAUUUAAACUCUUAGCAUCAUCAAAGGCACAUAACAGACCCAAAUUACUACCAACCAAUGAGAUGAGACAUAUCAGUAGAAAUACAAGGGUAUAAUUUAGUCUCUACAUAUAUUACUUGUUCUUAAUUUGGUCCUAAUAUAUAUAUAUAUAUAUAUAUAUAUAUAUAACAUUUUAUUUAAUUUCUAGAUACAAAGAGCUCAUAGAAAUAGUUAAACACGAAUAUUUGACAUCAAAUAAAGUUGGAAACCCUCGUUAGUUUUAAGUUCUCCAUACCAAAUUACUUAUUGCAGUAAGAACCUCAAAAUCAAAACCUUUAGAUAUUGAUUCAGUUAUUCCAAAACACCUGAACGUAUUUCAACUCUGCCCAAUCUUUUCAAAAUCAAAAUCUUUCUCUUAACCAAAGUUUGGUUCACUGAAAACCAGUGCACAGUAAAAUAUAAGAUAAGAUUGAAUGAGAAAAAAAAAGGUGUAAUAGAAGGAUUCAAUUAGUUUCUGCAUAUACAAAAGAUGGUGUAAUAGAAGGAUUCAAUUAGUUUCUGCAUAUACAAAAGAUGAAUGAAUGUGGUUUUUUUGAACAAAUAACAAUGAAAUUAAAUAAGACUAUUUUAGGACGGUCAAACAAUGAUGCUCUCAAAUAAUUUUUUCCAUUUACAUAUCUCGAUUAAUGAAUGUGGUAAGAUAUAAUAGACGAAGUUAAUUACGCAAUGAUUCAAUGAGAUUGUUGUGUUUAGUGAAAAUUAUUAAUUUAUGAAUUAGAAGCAACAUGACAUUUCUGAAAGACUAAAAUAAAACAAUAUUUUAGGAAUUGUUGUUCCUUUUCCAAUUAAUUGUUGUGUGAGGAGAUCAGUCAAUUCCCCCACUUUAAGUCUAUAUUUUGUUUUCUAUUAAGAGAUUCCCUGUACACAGGGACAUGCCAAAAUCUCUUACACAACUUCUUUUUGUUCUAUAUAUCCUCCUCAGUUAAGCUUUGUAUCUCCUCCUUCCUAAUUUCCACUGUUCCUUAUACUGGUUAUGUACUAUAUUACCAAAACUCUAAUUAUUCCACUGCUUCAACUUUCUUUUUAAUCCCUUCAAUUUCUCCUUCCGAAUAAAUCUUAUUGUCUCUUGAAUAUUAAUUUUCUCUCCCCCUUCUUGACCAUAUCUUUGAAAUUUUUGUCUUCUAACCUACCAUCUAACAUCCUAAGUGGGUUAGGUCCCAAUUUUGAACUUCAACCUUCAAAAAUAAUAUAAUAAUGGUAUGAUAUAUCUAUAUUCAAUACAUAUUGUGCAUUUGUGUGUUCUGAGCAUGUAUUUCACUUUAUCUGGAAGACAAUUUUGAUUAAAUGAAAUAAUAAUAAUAAAAUAUUACAAAUUUUGAAAAAAAAAAUGAAAAAUUUAAUAGAUCUAUAUUCGAGCGAGUUUUUUACAUAAUCUUUUCACCCAUUCUCACCAAUUUGUAAUAAUGUGACCAAUUAUUUUAUCAGUGGUAACUAAUGUAAAGUUUAGUUUUUUACAGUUAUAAUGGUCCAAACAAUUGUAAUGCAGCAGUGGUUAAUCCAAGGAAGGAUAUGGUGAUGGAUUCUGUGGGGAUAGUGGAUGAGCAAGGUGAGAGGAACAUCCAAAUCAAUGUCAAGCCAAGAUAUUGUCACAGGACUAGAAAUGAGAGAAGCCAAGAUGUAUUGUCCCUCUCUUCUAGGUGUCCAGGAUUCAUAACUGCACUGCAUUGUUAACUGUAAAAUCUCAUUGCUUCCAAUAAACCACUGUUAACAUCUCAUCUUUAUCGAUAUGGCGUGUCAAAGUUAUAUAACUUAAUAUGGAUAAAAUAUUUUUGUUUAAAAAUAAUUAUUCUGAUUUAUAAUAUAGAAUUGAUUUAUAUGGAUACUUUUGGGAUGGAAGUAACUAUUUUCCUUUCAUAUGCUUCUGCAUCUCUUUAAUUUCCUUUCAUUAAUUAGUUAUGUUACAAUCUUAAAACAAGUACCAAAAACGUCCACUAGCAUACAUUCCUCUAACACUACAGCAUAUAGAGUUUUGUUAACGACCAGCAUUUAAAAAGUGAGCUAAAAAUGAUAAUUUCCUGAUAUUUUAACGUUUUUAAUAUAAUUUUAUCAUCCAUUUGAAUUAUUUUACUUAAUAUUAUCUGUAAGAGAGUAUGUCAUGUCUUGUAGCAUUAAAAUAAAGAAUUUGGUUUUGCCAUCUGAACAGCCAAUACAAUGGUGGUGGCAGUCUGAUAAUAGAGUAUCAAGCAGUGACCUUGAGCUCAAGCAGUCCUAUUUUCAAAUUGUUUCGAAUAUUCUUCAUCUGGUUUAUUUAUAAAGUCUGCUUCUUUUUGCUUCUUGUAUUAUUGGCAUCUUUUUCUUUUAUCAGCAGUAUUCUCCACAUCUUGUUCUUAAUGUGUUGUAAGAUUUGGCCUUUUGGAAUGAUUUUUUAUUUAAGUGUGUUUGAUGAAAGUUUAAUGAAUAAGUGUGGUUUGGGGUCUGGGGUCUGAGACUCUGUAUUCCUUGAGUUAUGAACAGUUUAGUUAUUGAACACUUGCUUUUUCUGAACGAAUGUUAGUCCCUGAACCUUGUUUCUCUUUGAAUUUACCUAAAGAAUUAGGGCAUUCAAUAAGGAAUAAAGGCUUGUAUUAAAUAAUCUAAUAAAUAUAGUCAUAAAUGAAACAAAUAAUCAAAUUUCACUUAUUAAGUGAAACUAAAUGAAACAUAAUUAACUUCAAAGUCUUAAUCAAUAUGAAAUUAAAUACUGGCUGGGUUCAUGAUAUAUAAACAUAUCUUAUUUUGGUAUUUUAAAUCCUUUAUUUUAUUUUGAAGUUCCUAUGUUCUCUAUCUUUUAAAUUUGGGUUAUGAAAUUAGAAAAAAGAGAUGAUUUUUAAAAAGACAGGGAUCACAUGCCUGCUUUCCGCUGGUGACAUAGUAAAGCUCCAAGCUGAGAGAGAGGAAGAGAAACAAAGAUUUUGGCUUGUACCGAGCUUGGUUUUUCAUGCGUUACUAGAGCCUAAGAAACCUAUAUUCAUCUUACCUUGCCAUUUGUAUGUGCAUUUCUGUUUGUUCCUCGCCAUGGCUGCCACGUUAAUUCAUCUGUAGAGACCACAGCUGUGCCCCUCACACCCUCUUCAUAAUGACAGUCAAAGAUGCCAAUUUUCUGCACCCAUCGGUUACAAAUUGGAAAAAAACAGGCACAAUUAAGUAUCUCUUUCAUUCUAUUAAAUUUCCAAGACUUCUAGUGAGGUUGUGUGUUCUUUGUGCAAAGCCUAAAGAUGAAGCGUCACGCAGCAGCAGCAGCAGCACCGCCAGUGGAGAAGAGUGACAAGAUCGAGAAACCAUUAACACCACUGACUCCUCCUCCCAAGCUUGAAAGGAAAAAUUCCAUUGAGGCUGAACCUAAAACUUUACUUCAGGAGGAAAUGGACAAUGCCAGGGUUUGAUCAUUCUCUUUGUUAUAAUAAUAAUAAUUAUUAUUAUUAUAAUUGUACUUUAAUCUUUCUCUGUACUGCUCCAAAAUCCAAUUAAUUUCUUCCAUUUUUUCUUUAUUCUUAAAAUUCUAGGAGGCAGCCCUCAAAAUCCUCAAUUCCCACACUAAGGAGGAAGCUCUGAAAAUAUUCCUGACGGUAAUUGAAAUGAUUUCUUAGAUUUGGUAAUAAUGAUUUACUUUUAUUUCAGCAGAUCAUCAGAACUUUUCUUUUUAUGGGGUACAUGCAGAUCUAUUUACUCUUAAGGAUCUGUGUAACAAGCACUGUGCUAGUGAAUGACCGAUUCUUAAUUAGCUUUAUAUGAUUGUUAUAAUUGUAAAUACUGCUACUAGUUAACUUUGAUGGAAAAGCGAAAUUAAGGUAAAAUGUUGGAAGCUAAUUAUGUGUUCAUUGUGUUUUUUUUUUGGUAUUAGGGUUUGAUGCCGGUGGAAACAAGCUCAAGGCAGGUGAAAAAGGAUGUUGUCGUGUCCGACUGUGAUGACAACGAGUGAAGCAUUAUUCUGUGAUGGUGUUGGAAAUCUGAAGUCUGAGGAGUGUGCUUAUGUCUGUGUGUUUCUUUGGUUUAGUGUUUUUGCUGUUGUGGUUUAAAUUAUGAAACAGUUCAUUUCCUUCAGUUGAGAAUGUUAUUGUCUUGUUGUUCUGAACUAAAUAAAUUUCCCAUUUGACUUCUUCUGUAUCACUUUAUGAUCUCUAUUUCAGUCUUAGAUUAAAAUUUACCCAGUUCUUCCUCAGCAAGCAUUAAAGGCUCUUUAAUCACUGAUAAUACCAUAAAUGCAGUAAAUUUUUCUAUGCAGUAGUAUUCAAUUUGAAAGCUCUACUACUAAAGUCAAAUUUCAAAAAUUUAUAAAUUAUUAUCAUUCCCAAGGGAGUAUAAUAUUGCAUUAAAUAAGGUUUGUGGCGAGUAUAGUGAAAACUAAAUCCAUAGGUGCAGAGGGAUAUGAUAUGAAGAUAGUUGUGGAAAAAAAAAAUCACAAUAACCUUCACUCCAUAUAUUAUUAAGAAGGGGCUAUACAUCUCUUAGAAAAUUUUGAUAUAUGGAAGAAACACAUCUCAACAAGGACUGAACUGCUGGAAUAAUGCAUAAUACAAAGCUUAAUUUAUAUAAGCAAUCUAAAUGUUCAAUUGUAAAUUUUAGCUGCCAAAAGGAACACAUGAAAAAGAAAGAAGUGGCUCUCAAGUCCCAACUAAUUUACAACAGUUUCUGUUUUUUUAAUAUCACAAUUCACAAAGGAAGAAGUUGAAUCGGUUUUAAAGUGGAUUGCAUGAUGUUAUACUCGUUUCCAAUGUCAAAAGAAUGAUCUUCUUUUGAAAAAUAUAUUUCUAUGAGUAUAAUGAAAAAGAUUUUACAAGGGUAGGUUUAGAAUAACUAAUAAAAAGAUUAAUUAUUUAUUAAGAUAAUUAGAUUAAGAGUAAAUAAAAUAAGACAAAGAAAAAUAGUUUUUUAUAAGUAUUUUGAAGUAAUUGAUGUCACAUCUAAUCUUUUAAACUAUUAAUUAUAUCGAAACAAUACCUAUAAAAAAUCAUUCAUGGUAGUGUGAAGUGAGUUUUUUAUAUAGAACUGAAAAUUGUAACUUAAAAUUUCUUAAACUUGAAUCUCAAGAAAAAAACAUGCAUGAUGUAAAUGUUUUUCUUUUCUUGAUGUGCAAGAACUUAAAAGAGGAAUAUUCUAGUUAAAUAACGAGGAUGAUUGUAUUUCUCUUUCCCAUCAAUGCUUCAUCCAGCAAAUCACUAGAUAAGGGUGGCAAUUCAACUGUAGCACUACAACAGACUCUUGUUAAGUCAUUUUGAGAUCAAGUCCUUUAGAAAAAAUCAUUAUUAUGUUUCUAGGAGAAGACUAAUACUUCUUCACAAUUUAGUUCUGAAGACAAUGGUGCUUGAGUUGAGUUGAGAGAAAAUCUCACAACCUUCAGUUAUAUAUAUAUAUAAAAGGGUUGGAGAUACAUAAUAUUAUAACAUUUCCAACCUUUUUAUAAUAUUUUUAAUUCACAUGAGUUUCAAACUUAAUAAAUCUUUUAUUUACUAAGUGACAGUAAUAUAUGUUUUCAAAACUGAAAUUUUAUUCUUUUGAUAUAAGAUUUUGAACUACCAUACAUGUAUACUGGUGAGGUCAUAAACACAUUAUGACUCUUAUAACAGAGAUUCUUACUUUAACUUAUAUCAUAGUUAAGAGAAUGAUAUUGACCGAUAAAAGUAGGUGAAUUAUAGUACAUUACAAUUAAAUCCAAAAUAAAAAAUAGUUUAGUUGGAGUGAAUGAUCUGGAGANNNNNNNNNNNNNNNNNNNNNNNNNNNNNNNNNNNNNNNNNNNNNNNNNNNNNNNNNNNNNNNNNNNNNNNNNNNNNNNNNNNNNNNNNNNNNNNNNNNNAUAUAUAUAUACCUCAUUCUUAUACUUAUAUAUACUUCACUGUCUACAGCAUUGUUGUCUUGUCUAACAUUUUCUCCUUCAAACAUUUCCUAAAAGAAAUUCAUCAAUGGUAUUAAGCAGAAGACCAGCAAGGUUUAAAAAGCCUGAUUUCAUGCAGGUCAAACCAAUUAGUCAAGAAAAACUGGACCUGUUAAGGGUAAGGAUGUAAAUGAUGAUAGUUUGAUUUUUGUUAUUAAUUAUGGUAUAUAACUUCAUACUUGUUUUGGAUUCAUAAUGAUUCGUAGGCUGCUGCUGCUCGUGUUUAUAUUAACGAGCAAAAUCCUGCAGAGAAAUCCUCGGUAAGUGUUUCAAUAUUUAAAAGAGAAAUGCUUUUGAUUGGAGAAACUUCAAGUUAAAGUACUGGCUGAAUUGUUUUUAUAAAUGUGGUUUCAGGAAGUGAAUAGCGUAGGUGUUCCUGGAUCUGCAAAUGUGAGGGAGGAAGCAGAAAAUGACAAUGGAGUGCAACUGCUGGCAGCAGUUGCCACUGAACUGAAGAGGACUAAUGAUAAAAAAGUGAAAUCAGGUGUGAAAAAGAUCAAUCUGAUCUCUUGUGUUGAGAAAUAAUGCUAGAGAGAGCUUUUCCAUGUUAAAUGUUAAAUGUUAUAAUUCUAUUGGCACAUAUAGAUUUUAACUUUGAUGGAUUCAUAUUUGAAAUCUUAUCUUUGUCAAAUUAUUUCUUCUUCCCUUUUUCCUAAAAGACUUCUUUUGUUGGUAGAUGAAUGAAAGUUAUUUAUGAUCAAACAACAUUUGUUAUAUUACAUUUAAGUUUUAUGCCAUAAAAGAAUAUAAUGAUUUUAAACUACAGUAUUUUGUUUGUUAUCAUCUCUUUAAAGAAAAAAAAUGAAAAAAAAAACUAUAUCUAUUUUGUUUUGUUAAAGAAAUAACUGGAUUAUUAUUUAUCUCAUAAUUCCUAUUAGAAUUCUUCAAUUAAUACACAUGCACACAAAUGCACUUAAUAUUAUAAAUAAAUAUUUUAUCAUUUUUUCAUCUAAUUAAGUAAUAUAUUAACUUUAUAAGGGAACACACAAUUUGUUAAAAUAUAUUUAUUAUAAUAUUUAUUCAACUAUAUUUUAUUUUAGUCAAGUAUUUAAACAUCACUAACCUGAUACUAUUCUAAGUUAAAAAGGAAAAAUUAAAUCGACUUGAUUAUUUAAUAUAAUGUUUUCAUGUUAACAUCCACAUUUCUAUAAAAUAUAUAAAUUUAUAUUAAAAUAUAUUUUGAAAUGAAUAAUAACAUUAUAAAUGGAACAUGAUACCUGGAUGAGUCCCAACUCUUGAGAAGAUAAGAGAUCACUUCAUUAAUUUAAUAAUAACAAUUUUAGAAAAUUGUAAUAAAAAACUAUAUUUUAUAAAUUGUGUGCAAAAUAGUUCAAUUAUGACAUAUAAAAAAUUUCACUAUUAUCAUAAACCUAAAAAUGUUAGCUUAUUUAACGACAGGACAGGAGUGUAAUUUUUUUUAACUCAAACUAAAUGUUAUAUUAUUAUAUUUUUCAGUCAUAUUUCUAUUCUAUAAUACUGAAAUGGAAACCAAAUACAUUAGUCUUUGACUUAUCUUUGUAAAGUUAUAUUUAUUUUGAGAUUGUUUUACCUUGUAAAGUUAUAUUUUGAGAUUGUUUUACCUUUAAAAUCUAGUAGUUUGAUUUUUCAUAUUUGUAGAUUAGGUGAACUUCCAAGAUUUGAUUAUAUAGUGUAACAUUUUAAUUCUAAAUUAACUUCUUGUAAGUUAAGACUUCUAAUAUUGUAGAUUAUUUUGUCUCAAUCUAUUUAAUCUUCCUUAUAUUGAUUUCCAGAGUGGGUAUUUAAAGUAGAAUGGAUUCCAUUAACAAUAAGUAAUCUGGAAUGAAAAACUAAUGAGAUGGCUGAAGAUGAACAAAUAAAGAGAUUUAUAAAAAUCCAAUAUCUAAAUAUGGAAUGAGACAUGUAUAGGUGGUGAUGAAUAAUUGAGAAAACAAGAAGAUUAUAUAGACAAUACUUACAUAAAAAGAGAGUGAUUUAUAUAUUGAGAGUUUAAAUGAUGGUAGAACACCAAAAUAACUAAUUUGUGUGAGGAACCAAUUUUUCCAUAUGAUAUACUUUAUUUCUUUCUUACCAUUCACUUUGAAAUUUUGUCUAUUGUCCACAUAUUUUGUAAAUAACUUGAAAUUCUAGAUCUUGAUUUUGUUUAGAAUACUUUUUAUUUAGCAACAUUGGAGAACAUCUAGAAUUGAAGUAAAAUAUUAAUAAAGUAAUUACCAAUAAGAAAAUAUAUUCUAAUAAAGUAAACAAUGAGAAAUACAACAAAAACUUUGUUUUUUUCUUAAGCUAUUAUAGAUGCAAACAGAUCUAAUAAAGACAGAGCUAAAAACAUAAUUACAGAUGAAUAAGAAUAUAUAAAUAAAUAAUAUUUUCAAAAUAUAUUCUCUAUCAGCAGUGUUAUUGUAUCUGACACUUUAUUUUAUAAUAUCUUUAGCAAAAAAAAAAUCCAAUAUUAAUUAAAAAUUAAAUUUCUAGUACAAGUAAAUUCUCACCACUAUUACAAUGUUAGAAGAUAUUUAGUUGACAAUAUAUAAAAGACAUCACUAUGUAAGAAUUUGACAAUGCAUAUUUUUUUUAAUCAAAUGAAAAAUUAUAUCUUAUAUUAUCCUACACAAUAAUCUAAUGCAAACAAAUUUAUGUGACUAAUCUCACUUUAAAAUUGAAUAUACAUGUAAAAAUAUUCUAAAAUUCAAGUUAAUCGAUGUGUUAUUUAGUUUGUAAGUUUAGAAUUAAAACAGUCAUUACUUUGCUGAUAAAAAAAAAAAAAAUCAAUCGACAACCUCUUUUAUUUAUAUCUAUUGGACUUUUUUCUUUACUAGAAUUAGCUUAUAUCUAUUGGACUUUUUUCUUUACUAGAAUUACCUUAUAUUUAUUGGACUUUUUUUCUUUACUAGAAUUAGCGCAUGUCCAAUGCUCUUAUUUGUGUUUAUAGUGGUUAAUUAGGUUUUAUCUCUUAAUCUUUGAAUUAGGACAUAUUAAUCUUAGUCAAGAGAUUGAAUUAUCAUCAUCCUCAAAUUACUCAAUGUGCAAUUUAGUUUGCAAGUUUAUAUUAAAAGAGUCAUUCCCUUUUAUCUACUUCAUGACAAUGCUUGCUAUUGUGUGUCUGUACUUGUAUUCUACCAAUGUUGGAUUUGAUUUCAGACUUGUUAAUGGGAGGAACCAAUCUUUCAUGUGCUCAUCAAAUCACCAAAAUUGGGUGUUGUGAUGUUAGAAAUACUCUGAAGGACUUCCUUUUUGCAUGUAAUAUUUUUUUUUCUUUGCCGCUGUUUUGUCUGAUCGUGGUUUUUAUGAGAAUGUUUUUGUACUAAUACUAGAUUAAAUGUGGUUUGUAUUCGAGGUUCUCGUGUCUCAAACUUUUUUUCAAAGGUUCGAGCAUCUCUUUUAUAUUUUUAUUUAUUUUUUAUAAAAAAAUAUAAAAAUUAUUAAUCUUAAUACUAAACACCUUACUUUUUUUUUAAUUAUUCAAUGAGAAUUUUUUUUAUCAACAAUAAAAUAAUAUAUAUAUAUAUAUAUAUAUAAUAUCACUUUAAGGGUGAUCUAACCCAUUUACAUAGACAAAGAUAACCUAGUGAAAACCAUUAUAAUCUAACCUCAAAACGUCUGUCACAUUAAUACUCAAAAACUAUCAUUGUCAUAAAACAAAAACCAGUGCAAUUAGAGAGGAUAAAAACAAACUAAAGGAUCAAUACACCAGUCAGAAAAAGAAAAACAAACAGAAGAAUAUUUAGUAGAUAUCCAAGACUAAACAUUCAAUUGAGCCAAAGAGAAAAUCUCAGAAUAAUCUAGAACUCCGUCUUUAAAAUUAAUCUUAUUCCUGUGACUCAAAAUCUCACUAAUCAUCGCAAUUCAAAUAUUCCUCAUCCUUAAUAAGAUCGACUCGGAAGCAUUAUGCAACCAAAAUUGCAAAAAAUGGGAGUGAGCCUGAAUGGGGGCUACCGAAGAGAUGCCUAGCCAACCAUAACAAAGAUUCCACACCAUCCAUAAAAUUCUACAUUCAAAAAACAAAUGACUUACCUCCUCUUCUUUAGUCCCAUAGAAGCAACACAAAACACUUUCGACCGCAAUCCCAUGUCUAUGUAAUUCGACCUUAGUAGCAAUUAUAUUUUCCAGAACCCUCCAAGCCAUAACCUGGCCUUAAUCUUCCAAAACCAAUUAAACAUUCUCUAAGAAUUCCAUAAACCGAGUUAACUGAGAAUUCUUGAAUUUUAUUAAUUUUCCAAAUCCACCUAUCAACUUUCUCCAAGACCGGACACGAGUCAUACACUAUCUCGAAAAGUUGACAAACCUGGUCCUUCUCCCAAUUAAAAAGAUUUUUUCUCCCAAUUAAAAAGAUUUUUUUUCCAUGCCAGACCACUUCCUUAGAUAUAGUGAAGAAAUUUAACUCUAAAUUAGUUUACACUGAUACAUUAAUUUAUAUAUACUCAUUUUAUAUGUAUAUUUGAUCAAAGGAAGGGAGAAGAACAUUAGUAUGUUGACAGAAGAAAAGAUACAAAAAAAUUGAACUACUGAUGAGUUUGGCACCUAUAUGAAGUUUAAAAAUCUGAAGAACAUCUCAAUAUCUAGUAUAAAGUUAAACAUGAGGGAAGAGAUAUUAGAAUAAAUAAAUAAAUAUAAUGGAGAAUUCAAUGAGGAAAGAGAAGAUAUAAAUUAAUUUUCUUUUUCAUUUAAAGCUAUGAAUUGUAAUAACAAUGUAACUGAAAUUAUAUUAAUUAUCUGAGUAAAUAUAUUAAUAUAUUUCAUUUUUCAACUUUUAUUUAUUUAUUUUCUUAUCUUAUCUCAUUACUUAUUAUAUUUCUAUUUCUCAUUACUUAUUUUUUGUCUGAAUAAUGCUAAACUUUUUAUAACUAUAUCUAUGGUUCCCUCUGACAUUCUUUAAUCUAUAGGAAUACAUAUUCUUUUUUCCAGCAUACCUCUUCUAAAGUAGCUGUUGUACUCCAUUACUAUGGCAUGCAGCAGACGCCUGCCUCCUUCUCCUCUAGGAAGGAACAGUUCUCUCCACCAAACUCUCCACAUGGUAGAUGUAUAAGCUAAUUGUUCCAAAUUUUCAAUUUCUAAAAAUUCAUUGCUGCUUUCAUCUUAAUUUUGUGUAAUUGCAUGCAUCUAAUUAUAAGUCUAUUUCUUUGACUCACUCAUUUGGAAUUCAUUCACACAGGGGCUGAUUAAUUUUGAAGAAUAUUUUUUUAUUAUAUUAUUUAGCUUGUUACAGAGAUGAAUUAUGGUCAGGAGAUUGCCAAAUAACAAUUUUUGCUUCUGUAAGAGUCACAGCAGAAUUUAAUAAAUCAAUAGAAAGAUGUGAUCGAUAUUUGCCUUUUCCCCCUUUUGGUAAGGAAUUUUAUUGUGUAAUUAUUUCAUGGUUCUUGCAGGAAGAGAAGCAUGCCGAGGCAAAAAUUGAAAACCCAGAGAAAGCAUGUGGUAAGGAUGGUGGAGUCAAGAAGAAGAGGACAAUGUGAGUAGUAGUAUAUUGCAUCAGCCUAAUGGAGUAUGAACAAGUCUUUAUUUAGCAGAUUUUGUUUGUUUUCAUGAAUUGGCUAAUUGAACUUUAGUUUCAAUUAGGAAUAUUUGCCUGUUAGGAAAAUCCUAAUCCGUGAGGUGAUGAAAAAGUAUUGAUACGAAGUAUAAUCUUCAAUGAGACAGUUGAUGGAUUUUAUAGACUUGGAAAGUGAGAAAAAAAAAACUGAUUUAACUCAUAUAUGUAUUGUGCAGGAGAAGAACAAGGUCUAAAAGGCCAUGUUUGGUGCAGACUAAAUCUUGGCAAGAAAAUAUGAAAGUGUUAAGGGUAAGGGUAUAUGAAUUAUGAUAAAGUUUCUUGUAAUGAUUUCUUUUAUUAAUUAUGAUAUUUAAUUUGGUACUCUUUUUCUUUUUGUUCUUGAUAAUUCACAGGCUGCUGCUGCCUGUGUUUAUAUUAACAAGCAAAAUCCUGAAGAAAAAUCAUGGGUAAGUGUUUCAGUAACUGGAUAUAAAACGCUUUGCUCUUGAUCAGAAACUUAAAGUUUAAGUAGUGGUUUCAGGAUGAGAAUGCAGGUGCUUCUGGAUAUGCAAAUGUGAAAGACUUUGAAGCAGAUUGUGACAAUAUUGGAGUUCAUCUGCUGGCAGAAGUUGCCACUGGACUUAGUUUGGCAGUGGAAGAAAAAGAGGAACAUGGUAUCGGAAAAAAAGCAACAUGAGAGAUCUCUUUGAUUUUGAGAAAUAUCAAAAAAUCUGCAGAACAAUGCUUGAUUGAGUCCUCCAUGUUAUCUAGUAGUUUAGAUACACCAAUAAAGAAAGAGGUGAAAGAAAAAAUUAUAUAUAUGAUUUGCAUAAUUUUUUUAUGCAAUAGACUAUCUCUUCAUAUUUUUACAAAUAAAGAAUUUAUGUGGAUAUAUGAAUUUGAUGUGUGCGGAUACACCGAAGUCACUUAAAACUAUCAUAAUAAUUUCAACAUUUCUCAUCGUUUAUUUGUUGUUAUGUAACAUUCUCCUCUUUCUCAAGACAAAAGGCUUCCCAAGAUGUUUUCUGUGGGUCGGAUACCACUGUUUAAACGAAACAACUUCCCCCACAGAGGCAAUAAAAUUUUAAUAAAAUAAUUACCAAUAAAAAUAUUAAUAAAUUAAUUAUUGACAAAUAUAACAAACUUAUGUCAUUCUUAGUGUUACCCCAUUUAGAUACAAGUCAAAAUUAAUUGAUUGAGUGAGUUUUUAAACAUUAAAUAUAGAUUUUUUAUAAAAAAAUAACUCUCAAGUUUUCUAAAAUCAUCUUUUAAAGCUUUGUAUUCAAACGUACUCAGCCACCACAUAAGAUACAGAGAGGUUAAAAAUUAAUUUUUUUAUCAACAAUAAAUAAAUUAAAGGAACAAUAUCAGAAAAAUAAUCAAACACAAAAAAAACUAUAUUUUUUGGAGUUUUAAACUUAACUCAUAAAAAUAUGAAGGUAUAAUUUACUCCUACAACACAAAGCUGAAAGCUGCACCUAAAAAACUUUGCAAUACAAGCAAUUGUUAGAGGUAAAUUCCGUCAAAAAUUAAAUACUAAUACCGGGAAGAGAGAAAGAUGAAAAAAAAUUUGAAAAGAGAAGAAAAAGUAUCUGACAUAUUCUUUCGCCAUAGAGUUGUGUAGCUAUCAGUGUGGAUUUUGGAGUGGCAUGCUCUUUAUUGUUAACACAACCAAGCAAAUAAAAUGUCUUUAUUGGCUAAGUGAACAUUUUGGAGGACAUGCAAUUUCUCUACACUGCAGCAUGAAAUGGAUGGAUUGGUGUCUUUUCAAAGUUUAGUUAUUAGGCUUAUAUACAUGCAAUUUGAUGAUUUGUUGUUUUUUAUGGCCUAUUCAAGUUUAAUUUUUCUAUAUUUGUCUUCUACAGAACCUGUGUUGAUGCUCUUUCUGUUUCCUUUUUUUAAUCUAUUCAGUGAUCUUUACUUUAAGGUACACAUUAAGUCAAAGACAAUUUAUUUUUAAUAUAUAAAACCUAUCCCCAGAAAAUGUGUAAAUAUGACUUCCUUUUGUAGUGAUAUUUUUUGACUAAAAAAAGUGUAUCCUUAUGCCCUAAUAAAUGUUUGAUAAGUAUUAGAUAAUUCUAGAGACAGAUAAAAAAUUUGUAUUAAAUAUUGACCCACAUAGAAUUACAGGAUCACUUGUUAUCAACAACAUGCAGGAAAAUGUUUUUCUUUUUUGUGUAGGUACGAGGCUGGAGAUUAACCAUGGAUAUGGAGGUUCUAUGCAACAUUUGGUUCCAAUAAACCUUUUAUAUAAGCAAGGUCAUUCAUACCUCAAGCUUUUUGUUUUUUUGACUACUAAGUUCAAUAUAUUUUUUUUUUUUGACUACUAAGUUUAGUACAAGCUAUCUGUUUCUAUAUCUAGGUAAUAAUAAAUGUAGUUUUUUCAGUUGAAGAAUUUGUAGUUUAGAAGAUAUUUUUGGGGUUAUGCAAGAAUCAUAACAUGUAUAGGAUAUAAUAGAAUUGGAGCAUUCUUAAAAUGCUGCAUAUUUAUUUAUUGUUGAUAAUAUGUUUUUUUAUAAAAAACUUGAAAAUGUAAAUGAUUUUGUUUUAAUUAAAUGUAAAUUUGUAUAACAUAAUAACAUCUUAUAUCUUGUUAUUUAGUGCACACAAUUUGUUUUUAUAGUGGUUGACAAUUUUCGAUAUGCAUUUAUCUUUGAAUAUAACUGAAUAAAAAAAUAUAAAAAAUAAGUUAACUAAUAAUCUCUUUCUUAUUUAUAUUUUCAAAAUUAGAUUAAAGUUCUAAACCUACAAUUAGUUUAUUGAAUUGUUUUAAAGGUGUUAACUGAUAACUUUAACGUAUUAAACAUGUUUUGGGUUAUAAGUUCUAACUCUGGUUUGCAUAAUUCAUCACCUUAUAUUUUAUAUAAGCAUUAUAUAUACACUUCAAAUUGUUGUGAUAAAAAAUGUAUUUGAAAGUAACAAAAUGAAGUUUAUAUCCAACUUAUUGGAAAUAACCAAAAAAUAUAGAAAUAGAAGAAAAUUUAAAAGCACCAAAUAAUGGUUUAUAUAUGGUCUGAACUAAAAUUAUACACCGGAAAAGUAUACAUUAAGGAUGGAGAAGUGAUGGUAAUAAAAUAAAAACAAAGUAUUCAAAAUGUAACCGAUGAUGAUAAGAUACAAAUUUUGAGAACAAUGAUGAACAAAACAAGAUGAUGUCAAUACCGAGGAUUGUAUCGGUUAUAAUUGAGAGAAGGGAUUCAAAAGAAACAAAGAAAGAAAUAAAGAGGAAAGAGAAAAAAAAGUUAAUUUUUUUCAUUUACCCAAAAGAAUUAAUGACAAUGUACACGUGUUAAGAGUCUUUUUCUAUCUUUAACAGUAUCAAAUUUGAAUUUAUAUUAUUUUUAAUGGAAAAAUAAAUAAAUUAAAAGAUAUUUAAAAAAUGUUGAAGACUCACAAAUUAAAAAAAUAUUUUAAAAAAAAAUACUCUAACCCAUCUAAUGGAAAAUGUUUAAGAUUGAGUGAGCCUUCCUUUCCCUUACACAUCACAAAUAACCAGUCUGCACUUUCUUGCACAUGGAUUACCUUGCUGUAUUUAUUUAUUACUUACUAAAAGAAUUUAUAUAUUUACUUUUUUACUUUUGUUCUUAUAACAUCACUCACAGUAUUUUUAUAUCUUUCUUAGUGCAUAUAUUCACCUAAAUUUAGAAGAAAUCUUCAAAUAAUUCAAAACUACGUCUGGCAAUAAUUCCAAUAAUCUUUCUUUCACCUGAUAUUUAUUUAUCUUUUAAAAAUUUAUAAAAAAUAAUAUUAAGUUACUUGUCUCAUACAGAUUAAUCCGGAUUGUAAGCAGCAUAAUCACUUAAUAUUAUUUUUUUAAAAGAAUGGACUAGAUGUUGACAAUUAUUCUUAAUUUUUUUAUAUUUUUUAUUUAUUUAUUUAUUUAUUUCACACUACUCAAAACUUCUUAUCACCCUAUUUAUGAUUCUCUUACACAUUUAUUAUAAAUAGGAAACACGUAUUUUACCCCAACACAGACCACUUGCAAGUCCUCUACUAUGGCAUGCAACCAACCCCCUCCGCUCCAAAGGCAACCUCUUCCUACUGUGCCCGAAACUCCCGAUAUCGAAGAGAGACAUCUCAAAAGGGUAGAUGCAUAUGUUUAUUCUCUGAAUUUUUCAUUUUUAAAAGUUUCUGUUUUUGUUUUUCCUUCAUAAAUUUGAUGUAUUUGCAUGCAUUUGGCUAAUUCAUGUUUAUAUCUGGUUCUGGCUAGAUAUACACUCUUCUCUGUACUCACUUCAUGUUAAUUCAUUAACACAGGAUGCUACUGAAACUGAUGAUGAAGCAAAAUUUGUUUUUCCUGUUAUCAGUGUAAGUUUCCACUUUACUCUAUCUGUCUGUGUAAUUCUAUCUAUAUUUUCAUGACUCAUUUUGAGAAUUUUGUUUAUAUCUUUAGGUUGAUAAAGAGGAAAAGACUCUCAAUGUUGUUGCUGUAAGGGUUCUAAUCUAAUUAAGAAUUUUGGCUUUUUCCCCUUUAGUAAGAAACUUUAGCAUGUUUUUCUCAUGGACUUUUGUAGGAAGAGAAGAAGCCUACUGCUGAAGUUAAAAAAGUGAACCCCAGGAAGCGCAAGGCAGUGUGAGAAGGUCGAUCUGGUGCAGAUAAGAAGGAGAAAAAACGAGUAGCAGUUUAUACCAUUUACAAUAAUUAGUGUUAUGGACAUGCAUUAGCAUGUUAAAUAGCUGUAAAUUGCCAUUAAAUAAAUGCUACUCUUUGUUUCAUGUUGGGACUUCGUGGAUCUAGUUUCAAUUUCGUUUUAAAUGUAUCAAUUGUCUGUUUCUGAAUCGGUGUUAAUAAUCGAAAUACUUACAAAUCCUCUUCAUUUACUUUGAGUUUCAUGUCUGGUAAAUACAAUUAGAUUGGGAUAUUGGGAGACUCAAGACUCAUUGGAUUUUCUCAUACGGUUUAAACAAAUAGGUACUUUGGGGUAAAUGAGGACAUAAAGUUAAGUGGAUUAAGAACAGCUGAGGUGUUAAGUAAGGGAAGCACAAUUCUAAACUUUUGAUGUCUGUGUCACAUAUAGGAAAGGAAAUGUUUGUUGGAAAGCAAAUUUGGUAAAUUUCACAUGAAGGAUAUUUUUGUUCAAUUACAUUUUAUAUUUCAAACUUCUAGAUCUGUCUUUUUCUUGAAGUGAUAUUUCAUAUUAGCUUUUGUCUCAAAUAGUGUGAAAUCUGUUCAUACCAAUCAGAGAUGAAAUAGUCAGAACAACUAUCAAGAGUCUUGAGCCAAGUCUAAUCAAGAUCUGACUUGUUUAAUAUAAGUCACAUUGAACGGCCUAUUAGAAACAUAUUAAAUGUAAGCUUCCAAAAACAUCUAUGAUCUCCUUUUGUACCUUUUUUUUUUUACUUCUUUCAGUGACUAUCUAAGACAAGUUCUUUGUGGUAUCUUUAUGCUUUUGGAAUGUUAAGAGAAGAAAAAUUGCAAAGUGCAUUUAUAAAAGCUUUAAGAUCCUUAAACAACAGCACUUUGUAUUUGGAUUAAAGAUAAAGUUUCAUUAUAUUUGUAAAACUUGAUAUUUAAUGGAAAUAUUAUUCUUUAUGAACUUUUUGUCUCAUGUGAGGUUUUUAUUUUGAGUAAAAAAAAAAUUCAAAACUUUUUUUUAUAAUAGAUUGGAGUAUUCUUAGUAUUUUUAUUUUUAUUAUUUUUUAUUGUUUGAAAAAAAUAAUAUCGAAAAUUUACUGGUAAAUACACAAGAAAAUUGCAGGUGAAAGAAUAAAAUAUUGUAGAUAGUCUAUAACUUUUUUCUUAAUCUAGUUCACUCCUUGUGAUAAAUUUUGAAUUAAUAAAUGGGAGAUAAGCUACUAGCAGGAAGGGAUUUUUAGGUAUUGUAGGUAAGUGGAAGGAGAAGAUAUAUCCUUGAGAGAAGUGAAUGUGGUAACAAAUAAAUCAAAUUAAAAAUGAGGUAAGAACUAAAUCAAAUUAAAAAUGAGGUAAGAAUUAAAUCAAACUAGAUGAGGGUAGAGUUUAAAGUAUUAUACAUGCUAAGGAAUUUUGAAGAGAGAAAAUGUAUAUUGUGUAAAAUAGUACAGGGAAAAAUAGAAGACUUUAAUGAGUUGAAUGAAAAUACUGAAAUAAUUGACAUACCUGUAAUAUUAGAAAGUAUACUUAGAAUAAAGUGAAUGAAUAUAAAAAGUAAAAAGUAGGUUACAUAAGAAUAUUAUUAGUUUCAAUAGAAUGGAUGGAUGUCAAAUAAUUUGUUAGACAUAAUAUCUCCCAUUGUGCAAAUAAUCUUCCAUUAAUUUUUUUAUCAAUAAAAAAUUAAUAAAAUAAAAGAACUAUAGUAUUUGAGGAGUGUUGUAACUCUUAUAAAAAAAAAGAUUGAAAAUUAAAAUCUUUUAGAAUUUAAGAUAUUUGGCCAUCAACAAGUGAUUUGAUGCUUAUAUAUUAUGAGACAAUGGACUCACUACAUACAAAAUAGGUGGGUGGUUUGAUCACUCUAAAGGAAAAAUUAAAAAACAAUGAAAUAAAAUUUAAAGGUUUGAAAUAAAGAGAUUGUUGGAUGACAGGGGUGUAAAGGAGAGAAAAAAACUGUUUGUUGAACUUAGAAAUUUAAGCAUUAGUAAUGAAUCAAUGGAAAGAAAAAGAAAAUCUUGGGUUAGAUGGAUAAUCUUAGGCGACUGAAACUCCAAAUUCUUCCAGUCAAGGAUUAAUUGGAGAAGAACUAAGAAUGAUAUAGAAGGUGCAAGGAUUGAAUGUGAGUAGUGCCAAUAUCCAAAAAUGUCAAAAAGGAAACAAAAGGGUUUGUUGAAAGUAAAUUGGAAGGGACAAUAAGUACCAAUAAGGCCGUAGAACAAAGAUUUUCCCUCAAUAUCAAUAAAAGAUAAUAAGAUGUUAAUAAAAGAGUUCACCAAGAUGGAAAUCAAGGAGGCAAUACGUCGUGAUGGUUGUAAAAGUUCUAAUGAUUUCAAUUUUAGCUUUAUAAAAAAAUUAUUAGAUAUUAUCAAAGGGAUGUUCUACAAGUUGUUUAUAGUUUUCAUCCUAGAAAGGAAAAUGGAAAAAAAAAGGAAGUAAUGCAUAAUUUAUAACACUAAUAUCUAAGAUAGACAAUCAAAGGUUUAAAAUAAUACAAACCAAUAUCUUUAGUAAGGAGUGUGUAUAAGAUAAUGUUAAAAAAGCUAUUAAGUAGACUAAACAAGGUUUUACCGAAGUUGAUCAUACGUAAUUGAUAUUUAUUGAGGGUAGAUGAUUGUUUGAUAAUAUGUUGGUUGCUAAUAAAGUUGUAGAAGAGAUAAAGUAGAAAAAUAAUAUUUGUGUGGUAGUCAAAUUGGACUACAAGAAAGCAUAUGAUUAUGUGAUUAUGUUAGAUGAAGCACAACAGAAAUAAAAAAUUAUGAAGCAUAAUUGAUUACCACUCUAGGAUAGUCGAUUAUCCCUUGUUUUUAAAACCCUAUAAUUGAUUCUGUGUGAGAUUAUUUUUCUGGCAUAAUAUUAUGUACUAAAAAAUGUCUUUAAUCAAUUAUCUGAAAGGUCAAAUCAAUUAUUCUCUUCAAUGAUUUCAUAUCUUUUACUAGUAAAAAAAAUGUUUUGACGACGGUUAAAAAUGACAUAUAAAGACAGUUUUGGAACUGUUGUUAUUGUGGGUGUCGUUAUAAAUCAGUUGUUUAUAACGACUGUUCUAGAAUCGUUGUUAUAAAACUACAUUAAUGACACGUGAAAAAAAAUUGUCGUUAUUCUUCCAAAAUAAAAAAAAAAUGUAUUUAUAAUGACGGUUCUAGACUGGAACUAUCGUUAUAGCCCUAAAAAAGAUUUUUAAAGACGAUUUCAUCUAGAACCGUCGUUAUAAAUGUAUUUUUUUUAAAUGUUUUAUUAUAUAUAUCUAUAUACUUUAAUUUUGCAUAAAAUAUCAAAUUUCCAUAACAAUAAUGCCAUAUGAAAGUCAACCUACAAUACAUUAGUACAUAUAACAUUGUACAAAAAUUCUAUAAAUUUAUGAAAAAGUUUUAUUUCAUUCUAAUCAUUCAUUUAUCCUAAAAAGUGUUAUACAUGGUUACCUUAAGGUUCUUUGCAUUUUCAUUUCCCCUCCCACUCAACAUGUUAUAUCCAGAAUAAACACUGAAAUAAUAAGAUUUCAUGUUAGAAUACAUAACAUAACAUUAUGAGUAAUAAAUUUCUGAAUAUAAUAUAAUCAUAAUGAUUUGAUAAAUCUCUAAUUUAAACUAGGAAACAUCAUGUAAAAUUUCAUAAUUUUUUGAGAAGUGAAAGUACGAGAACCAAAACCUUAAAAUACUUGAAAAAUAGUUAAAUAAUACUUAAAAAUAAAAAAUAAUAAUAGUAAACGGUGGCUUUUUGGUGGAUCCAAAUCCCCUUUGGAGAUUGGCCACGUGAUUCAUUACCUCGUUUCGAGCAACUUUCAUUUUUUACGCAUCUCCAUCCGACUUAUCUAUCAAAAGUUAUGGUCAUUUGAAGGUUUUCACACUAAUUUUUUGCAACUCCAAAUCUAUCACUAUUCUCUUCAAUGUCUAGACUCUUCCAUCAAAUAUCCACUAAAUGAAGUUCCCACAAACCCUAAACUACUAAGUAAUCAACACAUACAUGUAAAUAUUUAAUUAAAAAAUUUAAAUUACUUUAAACUUACAAGUCCAGCGCCAUGGAGAGGUGAAAAGAAGGUCCGAGAGGUGCAGCGUAUAGGCGGCGGAGGUAGUUGCUUGUGCGCACAAAGGAGAGAUGUACAAAGGAGAUAAGAGAAGAGAUGCAAGCACAUAGGAGAGAAGAGAAGAGAUGCACGCGCAGAGGAGCGAUGUUCACUAUGGUAGUGUGGGAAAAAGGGACGGGAAGAGAGCUUGGGGCACGAAGGGGGUAGGUCGGAGAGCUGUGUUGAGUGUAGUGGAGAGGGAGAAAGAUGUGAAUGAGAAGAAGAAUGAAUGAGAGCGCAGGCUGAGCUUUAGGAUUAAUUUUCACACUUUCAACGGCGAUUUCCUACUUAACCGUCAUUACUUUGUCCAUAACUCCUCAUUAACAACUUAUUUUGCCCUCAAAUCUUCAUUAACGACGAUUAAAAGACUAAUCAUCAUUAUUUAUCAGUGUUUAUUCACGAAAAUGUCAUGCGCUUCUUUUUACGAUAGGUUUCUAUCAAAUAUCGUUAUUAAUAGUCGUUUUUAAGACUUUUUGUACUAGUGAUGUGAUUGGUGUAAAAUGUGUGAUGCAUGAUCAUAGAAUAAAUAUCAACAUUUUCAAUUACUAGAUUAAUAAAAAAUUAAUUAGUACAAUAUUGAACAGAGUAUUUUCAUUUUAGAGUUUUUUUAGUAACUUAAUAAUAUAUAUUCUGUUGAUUUCACCAAAUAAUAAAUUAAAGUGUAAUAAAAUAACAUUUAUUUAACCAACAUUUGUCUUUAAUCUUCCACUAUUAAAUUGUGGCUAAUGGAUGUUACCGUAGCAACUCCUUCCAAAUUUGUGAAUCUCAUUAUGUUCACAUGUAUUUUUGCGAUAUUGUUUUGUAUAGGAUUUUAACUUCACCUCAAACACUACAAGAAAAUCAUUAAAUAGAAAUCAAUUUUUAGAUAUCAAAAUAAUUAGUUACAAUAGUAACUAAAUUAGAGACCAUUUUAGAAACUAAAAAAAAAUGGUUUCUAAAUUGAUAUCUAAUUAGCUACCAAGGUUUUAACUACCAAUUAUUUUUUAUCUUUAAAAUUGAUUUUUGUUUCAUGAUUUUCUUGUAGUGAAAUCUUUGUAUGAAAAGGGUUUUACAAUAAAAUAACCAUGGAGAAUAAUUUUGUAAACAAUAUAUAAAUUGUCGUAUGUGAAAAAAAAUAGUCUAUCAAUAUUUUUAAUUAUUUUUUAGUAAUUGGGGAUGUAUAAGACAUGUGUGAUAAAUGAACUAGUGUAACAACACCACAUCCUACCUAACUAAUUCUCACUUAGAAAGUUUAAACUCUUUUUUUAUUGUCAAAUAAUAAAUAAAAUAAUAUAAAACACUUGAGGGGUGUUCCAAUCUUUUUACAAAGAGAAAAUUUAACAAAGAGCAUCUUCAACCAAACCUACAAGAUCCAAGAAAACUACAUACUUUUGUGUCCCAAAAUCAACAUCAUCAGAAAAGUUCCUUCAAAACUCGGCUCAACUAAUAAUUUUAUGAAGAACCAAUUGCUAAAAGUCUUAUUUCAUAUUUACUUGUAUUAUUAUGGCAGCAAAAGUUUGAUCAUCAUGUGAAAUGAGAGGUUGGUCUCUCGUUCCCAAACUACAAAAAAUAUGUAUACAAAAUACAAUUAUAUUAAGACCAUAAAUAUAUUUAAACUUCUCAGAAAACCUCUUCAGUGGUACAACUUUCACUUAUCUCAUCCAUAUGAAUAAUGUUCAAGCCAAAUUUUGCAUACGCGAUUAAAUUGCACAAUUUUGUAAAGAUGAUUGCAACACUAACAUCUUGCACUCCAGUCCAGACCACUAAAUCACACUUUUCUAACCAUACUGUAACCUACAUUACUAAAAUAUGAACAUUUUCCAACCAGCUAAAUGAUAUAUAGUUUAAAGGAAUAUACUUUACAGCUUUGACAGUUUACACUUUAACCUAACUAAUUCUGACUUAGACCGUUUAUACUUUUGAUGAUGAAGAGGGAAGGAAAAAUAACCUAUUGCUAUAUGUGGAUAUGGAAAAUAUGGAGACAAAGGAAAGUUAUUUCUAGGAAUGAAAUGAUAAACGCCGAGGAUAUUUUCUUAUUAGUCCAAUUCUGGAUAAUAGGUAAAAAAUCAAAAGUAACUUUUUUUUAUUUGGACUGGAGUCUAAAUCCUAUAACAUCUUUAAAAUAGUAAGGAGAUCAUCCUGAAUUAAAGAUAGAAACAUGUUUAAUGGAGGAAAAAAUUUGGCUACAGGUUAGGUGUAGUCUAAUAGUAGAAGUGGAGUUUUUUCUUUUUUUUUUUAUCAGCAAUGAAUAAAUAAAAUUAAAGGGAGCAGAACAACCUUAAAGUGAGAAAACACUACCCAAAAAAUAACCAACAUCGGCAACCACCGAUUACAAAGUGGAGCCUAUAUAAUGUCAUGUGAGAGUUAUAGUCUUUUUUUUAUCAAUGAGAAAUGAUAUUUUAACAAUUAUGAGAAUUAUAUAUAACUUUUGAUGCUAGUGUUUUAGAUAUAAAUAUAUAUAAUAAAAAGUAAAUUUUUGUAAUUAAAUAAUAUAAAAGAUAUUAAAAUAAUAAUAUUGAAAGUUGUAAUAUGAUUGUAUAAAAAAGUUAAAUUGUCAAUAUUUCAUUAUCUUUAAAUAAAACGGAAUACUUAAAAGGCUUAAUCCUUAUACAAUAAAAAAAAAAAAACCUUCCCUCCUAUCUUAAAAGUAAAAAAACAUUCUACGCUAAGUGCAACUAAACAAGAAGAACAUGAAAUCUAAGGUUACUUAAUUUGUAUCAUCUGCAUAAUGAUAUAAACCAGCAGAACAAGUUUUAAAUUACACCAAGAAUUUGACAAAAUUUUACUACACUAUUUUUACAAAAGAGCACUCUUGGUAGCAAAAACCAGAUUAUUCCUCCUCUGCGCUUUUGUUAUUUUUCAGCACUUUGCCUAGCAAACAGUGACCAUCUACCAUCUAAAAGCUGAAAAACAGACAACCACUCACACUUGAUUUUCUUUAAAGAAACAUUCUUCUUGUAUUUUUCUUUAUUGUAUUUCUUUAUGUGGUGCAUAUUACAACGGAGAGAACAUCCUAUUUAUAGGCUUUAGGGAGAUGUUCUAAAAAAAUCUUCAUUAUAACCUUAAAACCCCACUAACAACAUAAUUAAAAUUUCACUCACAAUUUUAACAUUUCACAUAUCCAAACUCUCAUUCUACUAUUUUAUUUUCUAGUAACUUCUAAUUUUAAAACCCACAAAUUACAUUUAAAGUUUAUUUCAGAAAAGCUUACUCUUCCAUUCCAAACUCCACUCCUGAUAAGCAAAUAGAACUUGUAAUGUCUUAUGGUUAUCCCUUACUUCUUCUGUUUGCAGUCUUUUUCUCAAAGACUUGCUUAAAGGUACUGCUGCACCCUUCUUUUCACCUGCAAACCACCAUACCAAAAACCUUC